rnacentral:lncRNA from 1 species
CAUGGCUCGCUGUUUUAGAUCACUACUCAUAGCAAUAACAUCCCUGUGGAUGUUAUCUUCAGUACUGAUCAGGUCUUCCGAUGCUGCUGGAAUUGCCACCUACUGGGGCCAACACACCGACGAAGGAAGCCUGGAAGACGCAUGCCGGAGAAAUACCUACGACUACGUGAAUCUUGCCUUUCUGAUAAAUUAUGGCGGUGGCCAGACACCAGAAUUGAACUUAGCUGGGCAUUGUGAGCCAAGCGAUUGCUCCUCGCUUAGUUCUGAGAUAAAAGCUUGCCAGAGCCGAGGCACCCAAGUGCUUCUUUCUCUCGGUGGAGCUCCAAACCUCUCUUCCGCCGAUGAUGCCAAGGAAGUCGCGUCCUAUCUCUAUAAUAAUUUCCUUGGCGGUAAAUCAGAAAAUCGUCCAUUAGGCGAUGCUGUCUUAGACGGAAUAGACUUUCAUAUCCAAGCUGGAAAGAGGGAUUUCUUGGAUGAUCUCGCCAAGGCGCUCUCAGAAUAUAGCACAUCAGAGAGAAGGGUGCACUUAUCUGCAGCACCACAAUGUUUCUAUCCUGACUAUUAUCUCGACGCUGCUAUCAGAACUGGCCUCUUUGAUUAUGUGUGGGUGCAAUUUUACAACAAUCCGCCUUGUCAGUAUAGUAUGGGCAAUGCCAACAACCUCUUCUACAGUUGGAGUUCUCAUUGGGCUUCAUACCCAGGAGUUAAUAAACUAUUCCUGGGAUUACCUGCAUCCCCUGAAGCCGCUCCUAGUGGCGGUUACAUUCCACCUCGGGUGCUUAUUCGCGAAAUUCUUCCCUAUGUCCGGGGCUAUCCCAACUAUGGAGGCGUCAUGCUUUGGAACGCAUUCUAUGACGAGAAUUACAGUCAGGCAAUCAGGCCUUAUAUUAACCCUGAAACGCUGGCUUGCGAUCGCAAGUCCAUGCUAAAGUCCCCAAGCAAUUGCGACAUAAAGAUAAAGUCUUAUGUGACUAAAUAAGUUCCUCUCGUUGUCAUAUGAGAGAUGAAAAAAUGUAAUCAUGGCUGUCUAAGCCAGAGAUAACGUGAAUAAAUAUAACAUGGGUUAUCAAUCCCCAGAGUUUGAUUGUCAAUUCGUGUUUGUUCUUGAUUAUAAUUUAGCACGAACGAUAUCAUUAGUUCUAGUUUCCUCUUAUUCUUCGGGAAAAAAAGGUAUUAAAGAAGAAAAGAACAUGCAAAAAGUGCCAGAUCAAAGUCAAUAUCAUUAGAGAUAUAUGUUCUCCAAAAUCAAUGUGUUCAUACAAGAACCUUUUAUGUUUCGGCACAUCUCUACUGUUGAGAAUAUUUAUGGUUCUGUUUGCUUCCACUCAAUGUUUAUAUUAUAUGUAAAACUAAACUUCCAUCACUUCCAGACUUUAAUGUGAAUUGACGGAGCAGCACAAUUAUCCUGGAAAGUUAUGAAUAAUGCUUUUUUUUUAAUAAUGAAAACAAUGAUGGCCAAAACUUAAGAUUGGUGUAAAAUUCAGUUUAUAGUUUCACAUUAAAAAUUAUAAGGAUGGUAUGAACGCCACCAGGUACUUAUUAUUGUGUUUUAAACUUGAAAAGCACAUUUUUUUUUAUUUGGUUUUUUAUGACACGAUAACUUGAUGAUCCAAUUAUUCAAGUUGCCAAAGAGGGUGGCUAGAAAUAAAAGUCUAAAAUUGAAGAACUAAGUGCACUUUUGAUAUACUUGAAUUUAUUGUUUAUUAUAUGGAAAUAGUUUUUCAAUUUCAAAUGAUUUUGAUAUUUCGAAUGCUUUGGCAAGUUUAUUUGGACAAAGCUGUAGAAGCAGAAUAAGGGAAAGCCUUGGAAUAUAAUGAUGAUGAUGCUAAAAAUGAAGAUGUUAGUGUUUGAUUUGCAAAAGCAUUGGUAAGAAUAGUACUUAUUAUCUAGCUCUUUGGCCUUAUUAGUUUUUAGAUUUUCCUAAUAGUGUCAUUCUACACUUGUUUUUCUUUUUCAAGAUGAAGAAGAUUCAGCUGGUAGAGAAGUCAAGGAAGAGAUUAUAAUUUGUGUUGGCUUUAUUGUAGUACAAUUUAAUUAUUUUUUGGUAAAAUUUUAAUGUCUUUAUUACCAAGCAAUUAUGGAUUGUAAUCUCUCAAAGAAAAGGAAAAAACAAGAGAGAUUAUAUUAUUGAGAAAUUCUAUUAAUAAAGAUAAAGCUGUAGAAUAUGUAUACAAUGAUAAAUUACAACAAGUUACCAUAUUAUACAUUUCCAAUUUUUCAAAAAAAAAAUUUGAGAACAACACAACUACAAUUUUACUAUUUACAAGAUUUCACGACAAGUACUCACUCCCGCACCUUGCGUGGGUUCACCCCUAGUUUCACAAUAUGAGAAUAAGAAGAAAUAUUUACAGCAAAGUUUAGAGACUCUAGAAUACAGGAAUGGGACAGGUACGAUCGACUACAGGUGCAAUUGACGCAGUUGUUAUACCCUUUUCAUGAUUUGAUUUAUACUUACAUAAUUUCGCUGUAUUUUAUGAUUUGGUGUAUACUCACAUAAUUUUUAUUAUAUUUCAUGAUAAAUAAUAAAGUUAUAUGAGUAUAUAUCAAAUUAUAAAAAAGUACAAUAAUCGUGCCAACCACAACUAAUACCACACCGUACUUGUCCUACUGGAAUACUUAGUUAAUAUUCGAGACUGAGACCAUAGAGCAUUAAUCCUUCUCACAUUGUAUCAAACAGAGGUACUGUUUGACAAUUGAAUUUUUUGGGUGUUUGUCCAAAAUUUUACUAUAAGUUAUCGUAAAAUUUGUAAAAAAAAAACUUGUUUGGAUGGUAAAACUUUCUUCCUUUUUUUUAUCUUUUCUUUUUCCUCUCCUCUUGUUUCUCCCCCACCCAACCAUUGCUCUUCCUCCUCCCCUUCUUCCCACUACUAGCCACCAUUGCCGGUACCUUUGUCGGCAAUCGACAACGGUGCCAGUAGACCUAUUUUUUUCUUACUCUCUUUUCUCCCCUUCUCCCCCCCUCUCCUUCCUCCCUUUCCUCCUUUCUUCUCCUUCUUUCCUCCUUCCUACUCCCUCCCUUUGGGAGAUGGAGGACCGGAAGGGGGAGCGGGAUAGGGAGGGAGGAGGAAGGAGAUAGAGGAGAUGAGGAGAGGAAGGAAGAAGGAAGUAGAAGAGGGGAAGAGGAGAGAAGGAGGGGAAAAAAGGGAUGAGGUUGCCAAAGGCGCCGCCAAAGUGCCAACUAGCAGUAGUGGUGAUGGUGGGUUGAGACGUGGGAAGGAGGAAGAAGAAGAAGAAGAAGAAAAGAAAGAAGGAAAAAAUUUUUUUGUGUGUUUUUAGAUAUUUUCAAGUGUGUAUGUUGAAAAGUUCUUGAAGAGUUUUUUUUCAUUUUAUUGUAGUUAAAACUGUUAAAAAAACUUACAAAUGAAAAACUUAACAAAAAACUCGCUAAAUAGGACUAGAGUUUUGAUGGGCUAUGAUGACACAACGGAGGCAGCUCCUCCAUCCAGCCUAAGGAUAACAACAGAUGCAGCUCCUCCAUCCAGCCUAGGGAUAUCUGUAAUCUAAAGAAAGCUCCAGAACAGAGAGGUGGAACCAGAAAUAGUUUCUACUAGGCGCACAAACUGCUCCUAUUGGUUAAUUAGAUUGAGUUACAACUUAGAUCAAUGGCCUAAACCUUAACCACUACAAUCACCGACGCAUUUUUCUUUUCUUUUGCUCCAAAAAAAAGCUUAAAGUUAUAGUAAAAAUUAUUGGUAACAAAUGAAAAUCUAAAUUUAGCUCUAAAGUAGGCUAUAUUAUAGUAAUUGAUCCUCUCCUUAAUUUCACUCUUCCAGUAACUUUGAUAUAUCAUAAAUGAUCAUCCAUUAUUAUAGAUCUUGCUUUCUCCUUUCAAAAAUUUUUAAUUUGGAGCAAACUAUUUGAUUUUUAGUCAAGUUCCUACGUUGCACAACUCUACAUUGUGGAAUCUGUGAUUCGUAGUAUCUUGCCAAAUCUUCUUAAUUUGUUUAGUAUCUUGCACAAUCCAGCUUGGAAAGUUGGACUAGUUUGGGAAGUAAAAGAAAUGGAGUGUUGCUCCUAAUUUUUGGCCAUGAGGAAGAGAUCAACAAUUUGUUCAAUAUUUCUUCUUUUAACAUUAAAAGGAAAUGAAGGAGUGCAACAUAAAAUCUCAUAAAAUUUAGAAUCCUGUGUUUUGAUUGCACCCAAAAAAAGAAGAUGAGGUGGAAUUGUGAACACGAUAGAGACUUAGUAGAAUUAAUCAAAAGAAUUUAUUCUGGGAAUUAAUCAAAAGAAACCAUAAAAUAUUAUAGAAUUCAAUGGCCUAGACAGCAUUUGAUAAAACUGAAAAUUGAUUUCUGAAAUAUAAAGACUGAAAACUAAUUCCUAAGUUCUUAAUUUGCUUAUAUCCAUGAAGUCACAUCUAUUUGAUAAUCAAUUUAAUGCAAGCAUUGAAUUGAAAUAUUUAUUCCAUAUGUAUUUUGUAGUUUUUUUUUUCAACCAAACGUUGUACCAUUAUUCAAGCUGCCCAAGAAUACAAUGCUGGGAGGAAGGCCGCACCCUUACCUCCGAAACGAGAAACGAAAAUUACAAAAAUUCUGCUUAUCCAGUGCCAGUAACCCUCUAGUACGACACAGUAAUUGAGAAGCCCAAUGUAUUUUGUAGUUUAAUCCUAAAUGUGAAAGGUGUGUUUUAUGUUAGAUUAAUUUUUAAAUAUUAUUUUUUUGAUAAAUGUUUGUUUGAAAGAAGAAAAGCAUAGAUUCUACAUGUUUGAAGGGGAGAUUGUAUUUAGAUGUAUUAUAUAGAAGAAAAAAAAUAUAUAUAUAUAUAUUCUAGCGAGAGAGAACGUGUGUGGAUGUGUGAAAAUGUGAUCGAAAGAGAGUGUGUGUAUACUGUGUGAAAGUGUAUUGGUGAGCGCAAUGAUUCUUUUGAGUGAAUAUGAUUAAUACAUAUACUAGUUCAACAAAUUAAGUGAUACAACUUUCGUGUAAAUUUUUGUAUGUAAAUCAAAUGUGUCAUAAAUAUAAGCAAAUUUUAUUAUCAAACAAAUGUAGCAGGAAAGAAGUACUUAAUACAAUAACUUUGCGUACUUAAUGAGGUUAUCAAAUAUCUCCUUAACUCUAGAAAAAUAGUCUAUUAACAAAUUUGUGUUGAACUUAUUAAAUUGAACCAUGAAAUUUUUCCCAAGACCUCCAUUUAAUAGUGGGAUUUGUGUUGCAACAUGGUGAGGAUAUUGGACAGGUAACUAUGAGGUCGUAGUCAAACUUUCAAGAGAGAAGGAAAUGGUAAAAGAGCUCUUUACUUGGCUUUAAAUGCUGUAUCUUUAACGGGUAGGGUUUUUUUGGGAAGGGUUCCAAAAACAAUCAACGAAGGCUAGUGGCAAAUCAGCACGGAAAGAAGAUAAACCGAGAUUUCGGCGGCAGCUGGCAUACUUUCUUUCCUGAUUGCGAAACACCAUGUCGAAGCUAGGGUAUUUUAUCCAACCAGCCUAGAUUAGAAUUUCAAGACGUACGGCUUCUUCGAGUAAAGAAAGUUCAGCCACGAACACUCCUUUCACGACCUAUUCAGAACUAAGUACACCUUAGAACAGAAGUGCUCGUUAACUAGAUUCCCUUCUUAUUUCAAAAUCAAUACUGAUGGGUCCUCGAUCCAUGGGGAACUCGGGUCCAGCUGGAUCAGGUGACUUGAAUAGAAAUCACCUAGGACACUAGGUAGCGGCCUUUAGCAAAAAAUUAGGACCCAUUACCAAUAUCCUUGCUCAGUUGUGGGGGACAAGAGAUGGGGUAUCCUUAGCUUCCUCUCUCACUUGCAAAAUAUUGAAUUAGAAGUUAAUGCUAAAACUGCUCUAGAUUUGAUUAAAUCUGUUGAUACCUCAACUCAUGAGUAUGAUUCAAUUAUUUCUAAUUGGCAGGUUCCUGAUCUCUGUUCUGUCGAAAGUUAUACUUAGAUAUACUUAUCGAAAGUUAAUCAGUAUGAAGAUAGAUUAACGAAAUUAGGUGCUCAGCAAGACACGAUUUUUGUAUGUUAUGAAAGUGUCCCUCCUAAUUUAAAAAUCUAGUAGAUGCAGAUAUUAAGGGAAUUUGUCACUUUGUGCCUAUAACUUAAUAGUCCCUUUGUUACAAACAAAAAAAAAAAAAGAAAGAAAGAAAGAAAGAAGGUUCAGCGACUGGCAUUUGUUCAAUAUGAAUCAUAUUACAAAAAAGGGGUUCAUGAAACAUGCAACACCACACUGCAGAAGUGGUAGGCGCCGCAUCUAUCGAUGAUGAUUGAGACCAAACUUGAUGAGAAGAUUCUAAAACAGGUGUCUCAAGAAAGCUGUAAUAGAAAAACAUGUCAACGUAAUCAGGAUUUCCAUCGUAGAAUUUAGCAAACCGCAUAUACCCUAGAUCCUGAAAUCCUUGGUGCAACUGACUCAUCAUUAACAGAGCUAUGUUUGAAAAGAUGUCAGUUUCUGCAAGAGCAUGAACCUCAAAAGAAUUUGAAGAAAUUGUCACUGGUGGAGAUAGGUAUCAAGGAUGAAUUUUGCAGUUAACUUGGUGCAAAAGUACAGGAAUCUCGUGACUCUGAAAACAAGAAUCAGGACGGGUUUGAAACUAUCAAUUUGAAAAGAGAAAACACAUUCAAGAGGCAAUAUUUUAAGUUGUUUAACGAAUAAAAAUGUUGAAAAGUAUAUUAAUAGAAACUUGUAAAAAUGAAAACUUACAUGAACGCAACUGUGGCCUAUACAUUUUUUUGCCUGUGACAACAUUUUUCCUUCUUUAUAUUUUUUUAACUUUAGUGCUGUCAAUUCAAUUUAAAGUAUCUUUCAUUUCAGCAUACCUGUCCAUUGAUAGUCUCAUACUUUAUGAAUUACUUUGUUUUUUUUUGAGCACUUCAUGAAAAACUUUGUCAUGUUAUGACCCAAUAAUUUGUCCAUAACCUGUGAUCGACUUUUUUCUGAGCACUUGAUGAAAAACUUUGUCGUGUAUUGUUCUAACAAUGUGUUUUCUAACAAUUUUGUCCAUAACCUUUGACUCAAUUUACUCGCAACCUAAUGAAUACACAAGCACCCUACUCCCGCACAAUUGGACGGGCUUAAUUCUCUAGUCUUUUUUUUUUUUUUUCUCUUUUGAUAAAAACAUCAUCAUUUUGUUGAAUCUGUAGUAGUGGGAGAAAUUACAUCAAUGAUAUAUAGAUAUAGAUUUGAAGAACAAAUGCUAGAUGUUGUAGAUCUGAAUAAUCAAAAGCGUCUUUAUUGUGGAACUCAAAAAACAUCAAAUGAUAUCUGCGCAUACUUCCACCGAUACCAUUUACUUUCUCCUAAAUAUGCUCAUGAACUGAUUCAAGCCUGGAUGCUUAGAUGAGAUCUGAAGAGAUAGAUUUAAGAAAUCUCAAAUCUGGCAACUAAGUCUUAAAAAAAAUUAGAUCUAACACUAGAAAUAGAAAAACUACAAAAAGUCCACUAAGAAUCCACAAAAUCACCAACAUCAUCUUUACUGCAGCCAUCGUCGACCAUUCGAUCUUCAAUUUUACUUCCCUUCGAUCAACUUUUUUUCAUCAGAUUUCAUCAUAUCAUCAACCUUAUUUCAUCAAAUUUAAAUUUCACAAUCCUAAAAAGGAUAAACCAAAACAUCAAAAAGAGCCCAAUCUUGCAAAAUUUUAACCUUGCACACCACUGAAUUAAGCCCUCUUUUGCAAAAUUUCUUUUUCAUAAAAAUUUGUGAGAAUUAAUGUGUGCAACCUAUGAAUGUUUGGAUUUUUUUAGAUUAUUAGUCUUCUUGAAUUUGUCCCCUCCUUAAUUUAUUUAGUCAUUUGUAUGCAAUUUUGUAAUCAUAUAUUCUUUUUACGUGAGGAAGACUGAUUUUGGAUGAAUUUUCUAUUGACUCAAUAUCAAAUUUGCCAUAGCAUGUUGGAAAAAUGCCUAAACUAAAUUCAUGGUUGUUCAUUGUUUCUUUCUUCUUCUCUUUUUGUUUUUUUUUGGUGUAGCUAGAUAUUGAAAGGGUUGAAGAAAGGGGAAGGAAAAUUUAGUAUUGAAUUUGAGUCUUUGCACUUGCAAUUAAUUUGUAGGUGUUCUUGGUUUCUUACAGUUGAUGACGGAUUAUUACUGACGAGUUCCAUGUGAACUAUCUUCAAUUACAAAUAGAAAUAAACCGGAAAUAUUUCUUAGAAUGGUACCCUAAGAUAAUGAUUAUGAAAUCAAUAAUCAUCGCAAGUGGAUUGUCAUAAUUAAAUAUGUAAAGAUAUAUAAUACUGCAGCCGGUUUGUUUGUGAUGGCUAAUCUUUUCCUAUGUGCUCCAUUUAGUGAAACUUCAUCUAUCUUGAUCACGUGAACCACGUACAAUCAUAUGUACAACCAGUUAAUUUAUUUGGGUCCUUGCAAGUAAAUUUUCAAUUCAGAUUUAUUGUUUGCUUCGGGAUAGAUUUAACUUACCAAAAAAGAAAAAGUAAAUUUCAGCAGCAAAGCCUUCAAGUAAUUUUGAAGUGGGAAAAUCAUUUAAAAGUCCCUCACAUUUCACUAAAUAAAAAUUUUUUUAUCCUUCACUUUAAAAUAAUAACUUUACGUUUCUUAUAAAAUCAAGUCAGUAAAAUUUAGUUCAACUUAAGUUUUUUACUACUUUUUACCCUGAAUUCAUCACAUAAUCCAAAUAUGGUCAUUUUUUUGGGACAAAAAGGUUAAAUCUCAUUUGUAGUCAAACAAAUGAUUUGAUCCAUAACUAUUUUGACACUAAAGAGUAGGAUCUGAUCUAAAUCAUAUUUAUUUUUCUCUUGAAAAGUGGGAUCUAAUUUAAUUCAUAUUCAUUUUUAUCCUAAAAAAGUGAAAUUUGACUUUUUUGUAUAUAAAAUAAUUUCAUGGGAGUCACAUGGUGAUUUCAAGUUAAAAAGUGGUAAAAAAAAACUUAGAUUCGAACCAAAUUUUGUUAACUUGAAUUUAUAAGGAACCUAAAACUAAUAUUUUAAAAGAAAAACGAAAAAAUUCAUUUGACAAAAUAUACGAGACAUUUUGAAAGAUUUUCCCUUCUGAAGUUGUCUUUUGAAUAUUACCUAUCCUUUGAUUUCCUAUUGUACUCCCUUUCAGUGAUUUAUUGGGAGCUCCUCUUUGGAAAUGUUCCUCACAAUGGGAUCUCAACGUUAUUUGAAAACAUGAAAAUUGCAAAGACAAGUUGGUCAUAAGCCGAUGACAUUAGCCUUAUUUGGAUUACAAGUUUUCACAGAAAAAUUUUAAAAUAUUUCUUGACAUAUUUUUUAAUCACAUUUUUAUCUUAUAUAUGUCAUAUUUAUUAUUAUAAUAUUUUUUUUUUAUAAAAUGCUAUAAACUUAUAUACAUCCUAUUAUCUUAUGUAUGUCAUAUUACUAUAGUAUAUUUUCAACGAGACUGUGAACUUACAAUUCAAACUGUAACUUUCAUUUUAGUGCGUCCCUUCUAAGUGAUUUUAGUGCGUUCACUUCAAUUCAUGCACGUGAAGGGGAAGGACUGGUCCAGAAUUCUGUAGAAGGACAAUAAUUUGGGUAAGGACUGGAAAAUUCAAUUGAAACAAGACAAGAAUGUCGCAUUCGAAGUGCGAUAAUUUUGGUGUCAAUCAACGUCACUAUUAAAAGAAGAUAAGAUUGUUGAUAAAUCCAUACAUCAAAUCCGUAUCCAAUAUCUUUACUCGAAAAUUGUGCUCCCGCAAGAAAGUACAAGUAAACUCUUAUAUUCAUCAAAUAUGAUGUGGCCGACAGAAAAGUUCAGGCUAAGAUGCUCUUAUACUUGAGUGAAGGGAGAAGGUUGAUUUAAAUUAUUACUGUCAAAGAAAUUCAUUUAACUAAAUUUAUCUAUAUUCGCUCAUAAAUAAAUGAGUAUGUGUAUAUUAAAUUUUUACAUAUGGAUAUAAAUGAAUAUUAUUAGAUAACCCAUCAAACUUAAUUAAUCCAUUUAAAAUUGUCUUCUCCCAAACUUUCUCUCUUCCUCCACCCUUUUUUUAAAUUUUUUUUUCAUUUUGUCAUGAUGUUAACUACUUUUGUUUCAUUAUUAUUAUUAUUAUUUGUUAGUUUUAUCUUAUCAUUUUAUUUUCUUUUAAUUUAUUAACUUGCUCAUUUUUCAAUAUUACCAAUUUAUGACAAGUUUUAAAUUCUUUUCUUAUUUUUCCAAAAUAAAAUUUUAAAUUUACACACAAAAAAAUGCUAGGGUUCAAAACUUUUGGAUUAAUUUUUUAUGUUAACUUUUAUAAUAUUUAGUUCAAAUUUUUAUAUUCUUAUUGUUUAAUUAUGAAAUAGUAUGUAAUUUUGCGACAUAGAGUACGGAUGGGAAAAAAAUUGAUAAUUAGGCUUAUUGAACAUUAUAAGUAAAUAUUUAAAACUAAUGAUGGGUGCAAAGAAUGGUAUAAAUUGAUAACUUAGUUUGCAAAAAUGAAUUUACAAAAAGUUAAAAAUAAAUGGGUUAUAAAUGGGUAAUUGGGUUACCCAAUUUAUUUUUUGACUUAUCCAUUUAUAUCCAUCUAAUUAAAUGGGUAUAAAUAAGUUGACUCACUUAUAUCCAUUACCCAUUUUACCCAAUCCAAACGCCCAAAUCAUCCAUUUUGACACCUCUAAUUUAAACCUAUUCAUCAUCAAUUUUGAUUUACAUAUUCUAAUAUGUUGCCACAAAAAAAUCAGGGACAGGGAAAAUUAUUUUAAAAUAUAUAAAAAUAUGUGAAAAGAGAAAGAGAAUAAAUAUACAAUAUAACUGAAAUAAUUUUAUAAACUAAACUCAACAAUAAGACUCACAAACAACAAUUUUAGAAGCUUUCUCUCAUUAUCCACAACUUAACUCUCUCUUCAAGAAAACAAUGAAAUGGUACUACUCAAUUUAUAGAGUAUCCAACGGACUCUAGUCACAAAGGAAUAGGACAAUGGACAAAUAUAUAUAUAUAUAUAUAUAUUGCAAUUCUGAACCGACGACAGUAUUCCUCUCCAAAAUGAUAAAUGUAACUUGCUAAGCUUUAAUGACCAGACACAUCAACUUCUAAAUUCUUCAACUCACUAGACCAAGAAAAAGAAGUUGCCACAUAACUAAUUUAUUCUAAUAAUUAGUCUUGGUUUAAUUAUCUACACAACCAUUGGUCAUCUUUCUUGGGCAAUUACAUAAUCAAUCCAACCUUGCUACUUGUCAGCCUUGAAGGACAGCGCUUGGAAAUUAAUUAACAGCUUAUCAUAUGCGCUACAAAAUGCAGAAGUUUAAUCUAUAGAUUUAUCUGUAGACCUUGUAAUCAAUUGGUGAGUCACAUUGAUUAAGUGAUGUAUGUUUACUUUUUCGUCCCAUUUAUUUAGUCAUGUUUGACAAAUCUAGCUUUUAAAAAUAGUGAUUUGAUUGUGAUGUUUGUACUUUUUUUUCAAUUUUACUCUCACAAAUUUAAAUUUUAAAUUUGAAUGGUAACAUGAAUAUAAUUAAAAAGAAAGGCUAUAUUUAAAAGGGAGAUUAAAAGGUACUUUGAUUUUUUUUACAUGAUAUUUUUGGAAUAUUCUAAAAUGAAAAAUACAGCAAUUUUAAUGAGACGGAAGAAGUAUAUUAUUAGUAUUAGAUUAUAAAAAAAAUUGAUGUGACUAUAGAGUCCAAAAAUAUCUUUCAAACCCAUUCAGGCUAGGUAAGGAUACGCCAAGAACGAAAUACGGGAAGAUAACAGGUGCAUGGUUGGGACUUGGGAGGAUGAGUAGAAAGGAUGUACUCCUGUUUUUAUUUGUCCAUUCUGUAUCGACGUGGAGACUUGGAGCCGCGAGUUUAGAAAUUAGUGACUUUCAUAGCUAAGGACAGGUUAGGUCAGUACAAUAAUUGCCCCAUCCAUUAUUGCGCAUUAAAAGGGACCCAUUUCUCAUUAUCGGACUCGGAUGUUUGCCUUUAAGUUGCUGGGCACUUAUCUUAAAGGAAUAUUCUUUUUACCUUUUACUGCGUUACAUGCCAAACGAUAGCUAUUAUUAUUAGAACUGCAUAGUUUGUGGGGAUAAUUGCAGAAACCUCCCCUGAGGUUUCUGACAUUUUCACUGACCUCCCCUAUGGUUUGAAAAAUUACACUGACCUCCCCUGAGGUUACUAAUCCUUUGCAAAUUUAGUCCAAACGAUUAAAAUAUUAUUAUUUUAGGGAGUGAAAUUAGAAUUUUGUACUAGAUUUGCCCUUUGUACUACAUGUCCAAUGAAUGACAAAGUAUUAUAAAUCAAUUAACAAUUAAUAAACUUUAAGGAGUAUAACUUAUGGGCAAACACGCAUUACUCAUUUAAAGUACCGGCUCUUUACGGGUAUUUUACUUUCAAACAUUUAAUUUAUGAUAAAUAUAUCAAUAUUUAUACGUAAAAUUCAAAAAGUGUUACAGUAAUAUUCUUGCAAAAAGGAAAUUGGUAGGUUAUUGAUUUAAUAUAAAUUAAAUAUUUUUUUUUAAAAAAGAAAUGGCCCAUAAAGUAUUAAUUCUUUAUGACUUUCAUACAUUACAUAAGUAAAGUAUUCGCUCUUUAUGUGCAUUUUAUUCUGAAUCAUUUAAUUUAUGUUAAAUACAUAAAUGUUUGUAACUAAAAUUGAAAAAGUGUUAUAUUAAUAUUUUUACAGAAAAGAGAUUGGUAGGUUUUGUAUUUAACAAAAAUUAAAUAUUUGAAAGUAAAUACAAAUCUGUAUUUGAGCGUAAAUAUUUGUAUUAAAUUAAAUGUUUGAAAGUAAAAUACCCGUAAAGAGCCGGUACUUUAAAUAGUUACCGGCUCUUUAUGGGCAAACACGCAUUAUUUAUUUAAAGUGCCGGCUCUUUACGGAUAUUUUACUUUCAAAUAUUUAAUUUAUAAUAAAUAUAUCAAUGUUUGUAAGUAAAAUUUAAAAAGUGUUACAGUAAUAUUCUUGCAAAAAGGAAAUCAGUAGGUUAUUUAUUUAGUAUAAAUUAAAUAUUUUUUUCAAAAAAAGAAAUGAUUCAUAAAGUAUUAAUUCUUUAUGGCUUUCAUCCAUUACAUGAGUAAAAUAUUGGCUCUUUAUGGGUAUUUUAUUCUGAAUCAUUUAAUUUAUGUUAAAUACAUAAAUAUUUGUAACUAAAAUUGAAAAAGUGUUAUAUUAAUAUUUUUACGGAAGAGAGAUUGGUAGUUUUUGUAUUUAACAAAAAUUAAAUAUUUGAAAGUAAAUACAAAUCUGUAUUUGAGCGUAAAUAUUUGUAUUAAAUUAAAUAUUUUAAAGUAAAAUACCCGUAAAGAGCCGGUACUUUAAAUAGAUAAUGCUUAUUUGCCUAUAAACUAUACUCCUUAAAGUUUAUUAAUUGUUAAUUGAUUUGUAGUAUUUUGUCAUUCAUUGGACAUGUAGUACAAAGGACAAAUUUGGUACAAAAUUUUAAUUUCACUCCUUAAAACAAUAUUUUAAUCGUUUGGACUGAAUUUGCAAAUGAUUAGUAACCUCAGGGGAGGUCAGUGUAAUUUUUCAAACUACAGGGGAGGUCAGUGCAAAUGUCAGAAACCUCAAGGGAGGUUUCUGCAAUUAUCCCUAGUUUGUGUGAAGAGUGAGAGUCAGAGUAUUAUUCGCGCCUUGAGGUGUUGUGUUUCACGUUUCUAUGUUACACGAAUUUUAUGACUCAUCAGAGAGACAUUCUAUCCUGUUCGGAAAAAAAACAAAAAAAAAGAGAGACAUUCUAAAAUUUGGAUUUUUAUUCAUUAUUGCAUCGGAGUCAGAACCUUGUGAUAAGGGGUGCAAUGGUCAACUUCAGUAUAAAUCAUACUCUUAGAUUUAUAUAAUAAAUAUACGAGUAAAUCUUAUAUACACUGACAGUGUAUACACUAUCACCAUUGGAUUUAUGAUAUAUGUGUAAAAGUUGAAUUUUAAAUUCAAAACUUAUAUAUUUGUCAUUUAUUCAUCGUUGAUAAUGUAUACACUGUCAGUAUAGAAAAGAUUAAUCCUAAAUAUACAGUAUGCUUUUGAUUUAAAAAGUGAAAUCUUUUUUUCCCAUUAAUGUUUAAUUUGAAAUAAAUCCUAAAUUUUUUUUAGAGGUAAUCAAUAGAAAGUAUUUUUUGGAGUCAAUGUAGAAUAAGUGAGGAAUAUAUAAAGCUUCAAAAGAUAACCUAUAUAAAGAAGGGAAUUUUCUUAAAUUUGACGGGAGCAAUACAACUGAAAGAGAGAAUUUUAUAAAAUUCAAGGGUGCAACACAUGGUAUAAACUUAAUAAUCUUGAAAAAUUUGAAGGCCAUUGUACAAUUUUAUCAAAAUUGAGGGGGCCGGGGAGGGAGGGAGGGCAAUUGUCCACUCCACAAUCCUAUGUGGCUCUGCCACUGGAAUACUUAUCAAUCGAAUAGAUAGUAUGAUAGACCGCCAGCCUUUGGCCAGUGGCCACCACCUAGCUUGGUGGGGUGGGAGGCAAGGCAAAAUGCCACAUUUAAGUGGUUUGCUUCAAAAAAUUCAGACGGGUGUGUUGUGCACCCGUUUGAUUCGGUGGUGGUUCAGUCCCCUUCGGGUUAUUCUUGGGCCUCCUUAGGUCCGCCCCCUCCCCCUUAGUGUAGAAUAGAUUAGGUUAUACAACAGUUGUCGUUUCCGAAAAAAAAAAAAAAAAUAGAUAGUAUGAUAAGAUUUUAACAGCAAAAAUUGUUAAAAAAAAGGGAUUCUUUGCCGUACUAUUCGACCCAUAAUCCGAGGGGGUAAGGUGGGAUCAACUCCAUGGCACAGAGAGGCAAAGUGCCAUUCAUCGCCUAAUAGAUAAAUCCUUCUCUCAGUUAAAAGCCACAUUGGUUUGCAUCUAUCAAUUUGAAAAAAAAAAAACUAAUUUAAGAGGCAAUAUUUUAAGUUAUUUAAGGAAUAAAAAUGUUGAAAAAGCAUAUUAAUAGAAAACUUGUCAAAAUGGAAACUUACAUGAACUCAACUUUGGUCUACAAUAUUUUUUUUUGUUUUUACAAUUCUUUUCUUAAUAUUCUUUUUAACUUUAGUGCUGUCAAUUUACUUCAUGGCCCAAAGGCAAAAAAAAAAACAAAGACUAGUGAUUGACACACGAACAAUCUUUAAUGCAAAUUUCAAACUCAUUAAGAAAUGAGAGUGUGAAAUUAUCAGAUUGGAUUUCAGUGAAAUGGGGAUUUUAAACAUUCAACGCGAAGCAUCUAAGCUGGAUCGCGGGCUGGAUGACAUUGAAAUUGUGGUGAAGAUAAGUUUUCAAAGUCUCUUUCAUUUCAGCAUACUUUAUGAAUAAACUUUUUUCUUGAGCACUUUAUGAAAAGAAUAUUUUACUCAGUUUACUCACUAACUAAUGAUUACACAAGCACUCAACUUCCGCACAUUUGCACGGGCUUAAUCUUGUAUUAUUAUUAUUUUUUUUAUAAUAAUAAUAAUAAUAUUAUUAUUUACUUCUUCCCGAAUGUGCUAAUGAGCUGGUUUAAACCUAAAUGGUAAGGUGAAAUCUGAGGUGAUAGAUUUAAAAAUUUUCAAAUUUGGCAAUCAAAUUUGAAAAACGAAAAAAAAGAUCUAACACAAGAAAUAGAAAACUACAAAAAGUCUCACUAGAAAUCCCGCAAAAUCACCAUCGUCAUCUUUACAGCAGCCAUCGUCAACCAUUCGAUCUUCAAAUUUACUGUCUUUGGAACAAAUUUUUUUCAUUAGAUUUCAUCAUAGAGCCCAAUCUUGCAGUUCACUGUGCCAGCACUGAAGUAAGCCCUCUUUUCCAAAUUUUUUUUUUGUAACUUGAAAUUUGUGUGAAUUAAUAUGCGCAUCCUAUGGAUGUUUGGAUCUUUCAUUUUAUUAGUCUCCUUGAAUUUGUUGUCCCUUUGGUCAUUCGUAUGCAAUUUUUUAAUCACAUAUUCUGUUUACCUGAGGAAGUCUGAAUUGUGAUGAAUUUUGUAUUGAUUCAACAUCAAAUUUGAUUAAAGGAAAAAGGAAACUGGCCUACGAUCAUAGCAUGUAAGCAUGAUGGAAAAAUGCCUAAACAAAAUACAUUGUUGUUCACUGUUUUGUUUUCUUUGGUGUAAUUGGAUAUUGAAAGGGUUGAAGAAAGGGGAAGGAAAAUUUAGGAUUGAAUUGGGGUGUUUGCACUUGCAAUUGAUCUGUAGGUGCUUUUGUUUUCUUACAGUUGAUCAUGACGGAUUAAUUUUUUUUUUGGUAUUAACCACAGGUGUCCGCAUCCGUUUUACGGUCUACGACUAAUUCUGUUCUAGUCACGUUGGACCCUUUGUAGGGGGAAUCUCUCCCAACGUUGUUUUUUCCAUCCUCAUAGAUUUCGAACCCGAGACCUCAUGGUUAAGGGAUGCAAGCCCCUUCCACUUACACCAACAUUCGUUGGUGACGGAUUAUUACUGACGAGUUCCAUGGGAAUUAUCUUCAGUUACAAAUAGAAAUAAACGGGAAGUGCUUCAUAGGAUGGUAUCUUGAGACAGUGAUUGGGAAAUCAGUAACCAUCGCAAGUGGAUUGUCAAAAUUAAAGAUGUAAAAGACAUAUACGACUGCAGCUGGAUUGUGAUGGCUAAUCUUAUCCUAUGUAGUGAAACUUCUUGAUCUCGCGAAACAUGUACAAUCAUAUGUACAACCAGUUAAUUUAUUUGGGUCCUUGCAAGUAAAUUUUCACUUCAGAUUUAUUGUAGUGAUUGUAACAUAUAUUUUGUGGCUUUGGAACAGAUUUAACUUACCCAAAAAAAAAAAAAAAUUAAAUCUCCACUGCAAAGCCUUAGAGUAAUUUUGAAGUUCAGUCUAUUGAACACUGCCUAUCCUUUGCUUUCCUAUUGUACUCCUUUUGAGUGAUUUAUUUAGAGCUUCUAUUUGGAAAUGUUCAAACCUGACAAUAAGCUCUCAGUGUUAUUUCCAUGAAAACUGCAAAGAGAAGUUGAUCAUGCAAAAAACUACUGUAGCUGACAAGAUUGGCGUUAUUUGGAUUGUCGGUUUUCACUUAAAAAUUUUGAAAUAUUUUUUCAAUAUAUUUUUCAAUCACUUUUUUAUCUCACAUAUAUCAUAUUAUUAUAAUAUAUAUAUUUUUUAACGAAACUCUAUAAACUUACAAUUCAAACUGUAACUUUUCAUUGUAGUGCGUCCUUCAAAGUGACUUUCGUUUUAGUCCGUCCAUUUUAAGUGAUUUUAGUGCGUCCACCUCAAUUCAUGCACAGGAAGGACUGGUCCCAGAAUUCUGUAGCAGGACAAUGAUUUAGGGUGGCCUGGAAAAUUCUAUGGAAACAAGGCAAGAAUGUCACCUUUGGGGUGUCCAAUAAUAAUGUUAGUGUCAAUCAACCUCACUAUUAAAAGAAGAAAAGAUUGUUGAUAAAUCCAUACAUCAAAUCCGUAUUCAAUAUCUUUACUCGAAAGUUGUGCUCCCAAGAAAGUACGAGUAAACUCUUAUUCAUCAAUUUGCAUAAACAAUAGGGUUAAUCACAUUUUAUCCCCUUAAAGAAUGCCCAAAUUUUCAAUUUACCCCCUAACCUUUAAUUUUGCUCACUUAACUCCCUUUAGGACAAAAUUGCCCUUGUAUUAUUUUGACUUUUCAUUUACCUUAUUUUCCUUUCUUUUAUUUCUUUCUCUCUUUCUUCUUUAUUUAAUUCUUCUUCUUUCCCACAAAAAUCUUCACCUUAAUGAUUGAAAUUAAAAAAGAGGAAUUGCAGAUAUCUAUCUUCUCCUUAAAUGAUUAAAAAAAUAUUCAAAUCACUUUCCUAAAAUAUAAUUUUUUUAGCCUUUCAAUUCUUUUACUUUUGGGUUUUCCUCUUUCCUUUCUAGUUUCUCAUUUUAUUCCCAAGAAAAUAUCUUAAGAUGAAAUUGUGAUCUGAUUAAUAAACAUGAAUGAAGGGAGAAGGUUGAUUGAGGCCCUAUUCAUCCUCAAAUUUGAUUACAUAUUCCAAUCUAUUGCCACAAAAAAAAAAAAAUCAUGCUCAGCAAAAAUUAUUUUAAAAUAUAGGAAUAUAUGUGAAAUAUAACUUAAUCGUUUUAUUAACUAAACUCAACAAUAAUGCUUACAAAUAACAAGUUUAGAAGUUUUCUCUCAAUGUCCACAACUUACCUCUCUCUUCAAGAAAACAAUGAAACGGUAUAGAGUAUCCAACCGACUCUAGUCUCAAAGGAAUAGGAAACUAACAAUUGGCAGAAAAAUUUUUAAUUCUGAACCGACUAGGAGUAUCUCUCUCCCAACAUGAUAAAUGUAAAUAACUUGCUGAACUUUAAUAACCGGGACCUUAGGAAAUAUUUCUUUUCCACAUCAACUUCUAAAUUCUUCCACUCACUAAACCAACAAAUAAAAAAACUUGCCACAUAAGUAAUUUAAUUUAAUAAUUAGGCUUGGUUUAAUUAUCUACACAACCAUUUGUCGGAUUUCUUGGGCAAUUACGUAAUCAAUCCAACCUUGCUAACUGUCAGCGUAGAAGGACCUUAGAAAUUAAAUAACAGCUUAUCAUGCACUGCAUAAAAUAGGUUUAUCUGUAGAGCUCGAGCUCGUAAUCAAUUUGUGAGUCACACUGAUCAAUUUGUGGGUCUUAAAGGUUAGAAGUUAAGAGGUUAUUCUGGCGAGAUUUGGAUUUGGGAAUUUUUUUAAUUUGUUUUCUUGCCUCCCAAAGAUCUUAUUCUCCUUCAUUUCUUUGUUUGUUAUUACUUUUUUUUUUAAUGAGUUUUAAGAAGUUAUGGUGAUAGUGGGGGAUGAUGAUAGUGGUGAUGGGAUGAUCAAGAGGUUGGUGUUGAUAGUGUGAGAUUUGGGUAUGGAUUAUGACUUGAUUUCUAUUUCUGUUUGAUGAAUUUUUAGAUAUUAAUUUAUGCUUUUUGAAAGGGAUUUUUGUUUGAGGAAUAUUUGUAGGGUUUAGAAAUUUGACUAUAUUCAGAAGAUGAAAAUAAAGGAAGGGUAUUUUUGGAGGUUUGGUAAAAUUUUGAGGGUUAACAAGUAUAAUCACUCUCUCUUUUUUUAUCAGAUUUAAUUUAAUUUGUAAAUUGUGCAAAAAAUUAGAAGUUGAAGGUAAUGGACUGCUAAAUUUAAAGUUUGGAAUGCAAGUUCCAAUUGCGAAAUUGUUGAGGGGUGCAACUUACAAUUAACCCUAUUUCUAUUUUAUUUUAUAUUAUACAACUUGUUAAAGGGACAACUGUAGUAUUAAGAGAAAUAUUUUAAAGGGAUAAUUUCAUAAACCUCCCCUGAGGUUUUUGAUAAUUUUAUGUGGCUCCCUUAAGGUUUCAAAAUUUACAUCUACCCCCUUACCCAUUUAAAAUGACAAUACUAACCUUAAUAUUUUAAUAAAACUCUCUUGCUUCCAUGUUUAUAAAAAGGAUGGAUUUUAUAAUUUUUAUAAUUUAUGAAAAGAGGUAAAACGGGAUGAACCCCAUGGUUCAGGGGAACAAAGUGCCAUUCAUCCGCUAAUAGAUAAAUCCUUCUCUUUCUUCCUUAAAAGCCAUGUUGAUUCAGUGACAGGGCGUCAACUAAUUAAAAAUAAAUAACUACUCCAGAAAAUACGAACUUGUUUGCAGCAAUGAGUAGGAUUGUCUCCACAAGAUAGAGUUGAUUUAUUUUCUUCCAAAGCAAUGAAUAAAAAGGGGGAUUUUGGAGAAUUAAACUAACUAAUUAACUUAAACACAAAUAAACAUGCAAAGAAAAUUAACUAAGAAUAAACCAAUAAUAAUAGAGUUCUAGCCAAAGGAAUAAUCUUAGGAUUGGUUCCUAUAAUUGAUCACUAAAGCAAAGAUGAAUUCAAAUAUUAGUGAACAAAUAGGUUAUAAUUAUCAUUAAACUUUGGCAAUCAAUCUUUCCUUACUUUAUCGAUAAUCAGAGUAUGGCCACUAACUACUUCUCUAACUAAAAGAUAAUCCUAGGUACAACCAUAGAAUUAAAUCUUUUAUCAGCAUCAAGAAUUAAAAAAGCCUAAUUCGAAUCAACAAACAUGUUGCGAGAGUUCAUUUAAAUUAUAUCAUAUAUUUUCCUGAUAUAGAUCCAAUUAUGCUAGUCAACACAAAUAUUAAAACAGACAAACAAUUACGAAUUUAAUUGUUUCAAUUGGCAGCAGACUAUUGUAAAUAAUUAAAUAUUGGCCACUUAUUUAAUUACACACAAUAAUCAUCAUACAUGUAAUACAGGAAGUAUAAAAAUACCCACGAAUAGAUGAAACAGUAAACUUAAAUUAGAUAUCAUAAUUGUUUGUAGAACCAAGGCUUCGAUUAUCCUCUAACUAGAAAGAAAAUUUAGCCACUUCUUAUGGAGAAAAUGCAGCGGAGAAAACUAGGUUUUUGUCUUGAGAGAAGAAAAAAGAAAACCACCUAACUACGAUGACAAAGUGUAGAGAGAGUUUGGGAAUUAAAUAUCGAUAUUCUCGCCCUAACAAUCUAUAUGAUAAUCUCCUAAAAAUUAUUCCAAUAAAAGGAAUUAUCUUCCAUACUGGAAUAAUCUAUUUUCGUAGAUAAUGAUAUAAUAAUAUCCUUACUAACUAGUUGCCAUCCAAAAAUAAAAAGUUUUCAAGGCUGCAGAGAAAUCAAUCAAUUAUUCUCUUUAAUUGUUGAAAUUAAUCUCAGGUCCCACAACUUCUGAAUUUCCUAGGCUCUUUAAGACGCGCCCAUACUUUAUAGCAAAUAGACUUUUCAGCAACUCUUUUUAGUCCUCUUUCAUCCCAAAUUCUUAUGACAUCACUAAAACACAAAAUAUAAGUAAAAUCCACAAAAUAACACAAUAAUCUACUAAAAUGAAAGGAGAAUCGACACAAACUAUAUCUCGAUUAGGCACACAAUCAUUUAGUGACACAUGAUGAUGUAAGUAAUAUUACAUUAUUAUGAUGAUAUAUGUGGCUCUUGAGUAUGCACCACAUCGUCCAUGAGUGGUUCCGAAAAUCAAGUUUUUAAGAAGGUUUUAAAGCUGGAAAUCUUACUGGGUCAUAGGUUAUUGGUUCAAUCGUUAGAUUAAAUGUUACCAAGUCAUUGUUACUCUGUGACACCAUAUAUAUCAUAAAUAAUUAAUGUGAAAAAUCAUUCAAUACGUCCCUUAUAUUUUAUUAAAUGGUUUUUUUGUUUCUUCACUUUUAAAAUGUUAGUUUUACAUCUAUUACAAAUUCAAGUUAGUAAAAUUUGGUCCCAAUCUAAAUUUUUGACUACUUUUUAGCCUAAGAUCGCCAUGUGACCUAUAUGCAAUUAUUUUUUAUGUAAAAAAAAAUGUCAAAUACCACUUUUGUAGUGAUAAAAAUAAAUAUGGAUCGGGUCAAAUUCCAUUUUUGUUUUAAAAAAUGAAUAUGGAUCGAAUAAUUUAUUUAACUACAAAUGGGAUGUAACAUUGUUUAAUUCUAACAAUUGUUAAGUGGAUAGGAACACGAAUAGUAAUAAAUUUUGGAUUUUGUAAACAAUUUAGAGCUAAAUUAUAAUUUUUUAAAGGUGAAAUGAUAGAAACUUAAAUAUGAGGUAACAUUGAAAUCUAAAAGUAAGUAUGAGGGCUAAAUAGUAAAAUGUCAAAAAGUAUAGUGCGUUAAUCGUUUCCGAUAAUUAUAUGCUAAUGCUGGGCCGCAUUUUUUUUUUUAUUUUAAAGAAAAGCAAGACUCAAAACGGUUUAGUAAAAACAUGUCAACGGUUCGUUGGUCCGGCCAAACGAUCUAGUUGGUUUUUACUAUCUAGACCGAUUUUUUGAUCCAUCUUUAGUUUGAGACUUGACUUAGUUCAGAAAGCUACUCGAUCAACAGUUGAAUCAGCUCACUCGAACAGUCAAAACUGAGUUUUAUACUAUUAGUUUUUAUUUAAAUAUUUUCAAUACCCAUUUAUAAGAUUAUGGCACUUGUAAGUUCUCCAUGAACCGAAAAUAAAAAGAUAUUUGUGUUAUAGUUGAAAUGAUGAGUGAAGAAAUUUACUGAUGCUGUCAAUAAUGUAUCGACGGGAUACUUGAGCAACGAAUAAUACUUUUCUUUGGGUAAACAAUCAACUAUUAUUGAUAAAGCACAUAUUACACAUAUCUGUAAAAGGAUGGGUAGUAUUUGGCACGUCUUCAAUUCGCCACACAGGUAGCUGAACUCAUCUAUAAAAGGGGUCGAUCUGUGGGCAACCAAAUACACACCAAACCAAAAAAUACACACGAAAGCAAGCCUGCAAAAACAACCGAGAGGAGAAAAAAUGGCUCCCUGUUUUAGAGCACUAGUCAUAGCAAUAACAUCGCUGUUGAUGAUAUCUUCAGUGAUCAGGUCUUCCGAUGCUGCUGGAAUUGCCACCUACUGGGGCCAAAACACUGACGAAGGAAGCCUGGAAGACGCAUGCCGGAGAGGUACCUAUGACUACGUGAAUCUUGCCUUUCUGAUAAAUUAUGGCAAUGGCCAGACACCAGAAUUGAACUUAGCUGGGCAUUGUGAGCGAAGCGCUUGCUCCUCGCUUAGUUCUGAGAUAAAAGCUUGCCAGAAACGAGGCAUCCAAGUGCUUCUUUCUCUCGGUGGAGCUCCAAACCUUUCUUCACGCGAUGAUGCUAAGGAAGUCGCGUCCUAUCUCUAUAAUAAUUUCCUUGGCGGUGAAUCACAAAAUCGUCCAUUAGGCGAUGCUGUCUUAGACGGUAUAGACUUUCAUAUCCAAGGUGGAAGUAGGGAUUUCUUGGAUGAUCUCGCCAAGGCGCUCUCAGAAUAUAGAACAACAGAGAGAAGGGUGCACUUAUCUGCAGCACCACAAUGUUUCUAUCCUGACUAUUAUCUUGACGCUGCCAUCAGAACUGGCCUCUUUGAUUAUGUGUGGGUGCAAUUUUACAACAAUCCGCCUUGUCAGUAUAGUAUGGGCAAUGCCAACAACCUCAUCAACAGUUGGAGCUCUCAUUGGGCUUCACAUCCAGGAGUUAACAAACUAUUCCUGGGAUUACCUGCAUCCCCUGAAGCCGCUCCUUCUGGCGGUUACAUUCCACAUCGGAUUCUUAUUCGUGAAGUUCUUCCCCAAAUCCAGGACUAUCCCAACUAUGGAGGCGUCAUGCUUUGGAACGUAUACUAUGACGAGAAUUAUAGUCAGGCAAUCAGGCCUUAUGUUAACCCUGAAACUCUGACUUUUGAUCGCAGGUCCACGAUUAAGUACCCAAGAAAGUCCAUGAUAAAGUCUUUUGUGGAUGAGUAAGUUCCUCUCAUUAUCUUAUGAGAGAUGAAAUAAGUAUAAUAUAAUCCCGGUGGUUUGAGCCAGAGAUAAUGUUAAUAAAUAAGUUCCUCUCAUUAUCCUGUGAGAGAUGAAAUGUAAUCCGGGUUGCUUUUGCAAGAGAUAAAUUGAAUAAAUAAAUAAAACAUGGGUUUUCAAUCCCCAAACUAAGGGCAGUCGCGUUUGAUUUUUUUUAAUUCGUGUUUGUUCUUGAGUAAAAACUAUCACGAACAGUAUCAUUAGUUUUAAUUUCCCCUUACUCUUCAGAAAAAAAAGGGUAUUGAAAAAAAAAAAACAUGCAAAAGGUACUAGAUCAAAAUCUCUCACUCGCUAGACAAAGAAUUUCAAGAUAACAGCCCUUGAUCCAAUCCGCAUUCCAAUGCAAGUUCCUGGUUUUACUUAGUAUGAGGAACCUUGGGCCAUGCGAGAUCAAAUAAAAAAAUAAUAUCAUCAGAUAUUUAUUCUCCAAAAUCAAUAUAUUUAUUCAAGAGCAUUUUACAUUUCAGUACACCUUUACUGUUGAGAAUAUUACUGUUCUGUUAGCUUCUAUGCAAAGUUUGUUUCAUAUGCAAUAACGUACUUAGUAACUAAACUUCCAUCACUUGCAGAUAUUAAUCCAGGAAAAAGAUGAAUAAUUGUUUUCUUUUAUAUGGAUUAAUCUUCUAUACAUUGACAGUGUAUACACUUUCAUCAUUAGAUGCAUGACACAUAAUCCGAAUUUGAAUUUGAAACUCAAAUAUUGUAUAUAUGUCGUAUAUUCAACUGUGAUGGCGUAUAUACCGUCAAUGUAUAUAAGAUUUAUUUUUUAUAUAUAUAUACACAUAUAAGGAAAGCAAUGACGUUCAAAACUUAAGAUCGAUGUACAAUUCAGUUUUGCUUAAAUUCUUAGCUCGAGGCCUGUUCAAAUCUUGUAAAAAGGUACUGGUAAUAAAUGAAAAUCUAAAGUUUGCUCUAAGGUAGGUAAUAUUAUAGCAAUUGGUCCUCUUCUUAAUUUAGUUCUUCCAGUAAAUUUGAUAUAUCGUUUACGAUCAUCCAGCAUUAUGGAUAUUGCUUUCUCUUUGUGAAAAUUUUUAGUUUUGAGCAAAGUCUUUGGUUUUUAGUCAAGUUCUUGCGUUGGACAGCUCUACAUCUUGGAACUGGUGAUUCGUACAAAUAUACAGUAUCUUGGAAAUAUUAGACUUUUUUUUUUAAAAAAAAAAACCUUAUUUUAUUAAUGAAGCAAAAAGGAAUACAUGAAUGCGUGUUCAGGCUGCACCACUCGACCUACAGCUAGGCCUAGAGCUGUUAAACGAACCGAGUUGUUCGGUAGCUCGGUUCGUUUCGACUCGUUCGAAACCUUAAAUGAACCGAGUUCGAACGAAUGUUUUUGUUCGAUUAAUAAUCGAGCGAACACGAGCAUGUUCGCGAGUUUUAACGAACGUUCGCGAACAUGCUAAACGAACGUUCGCGAACACGAGCAUGUUCGCGAGUUUUAACGAACGUUCGCGAACAUGGACAUAAUUAUCAUUUGAUAAAUUUUAGGGUUAAUUUUAUGGCUGGACUUUUAUGUUUGGAGGGCAAAUUACUUUGUUUUAUUUGUUAUUUUUAUGUUAAUGUUAGUUAUAUAGUUAAUGAAUAAUAGAAUUUAGUCACUUAGUGCUUUAAUUGUUUUUGAGAAUAGUUAAUAAUUUGCAUGACAUAUUUAAGGCUUAAAAUAAUUUGGAUUCGAGCAUUUCGAGUAUGUUCGCGAACGGCUCAUUUAUGUUAAAUGAGUCGAACACGAACUCGAAUUCGAACACGAAUUUUGCUUAACGAGCCGAACACGAACACAUGUUUGAAGUUCGAAAAUUAACGAACGAACACGAACGUUGUUCGAACUGCUUAACGAACAGAGCUCAAACAUGAGAUACUCGGUUCGAUUCGGUUCGUUUACAGCUCUAGCUAGGCCCCAAGGACCUCUUAGAAAAUCGAAAACUCCCAAUCCCCAGUCUAUCGACCUGACAUAGGCCCCUCACCGACCUUGGCAAGGACGUGAAGGAGAGCAAGAGACAAAAGUUGCUGGAGCGGCUACCCAGCGAUGCCAACGAAUCCGCCACAGCAUUACCUUCUCGAUGGAUAUGUUGAAAGGACGAUAUAGCUGGCGAGAGUUGCCGAAGAUGACGGAGGAUUGGCAAUAGCGAAACCGGAACGCCCCAUACCCCUGUAGAACGUCGAUCAGGAUCUUUGAGUCGCCCUCCACCACGACUGGGCCAUGGCGGAAUAGGUUACACAAUUCAAGCCCCGUGCACAGUGUGAGGCCCCGAAAAAAAUGAGUUUGAGAACCCGGAAAUUUUAAUUUUCUAGGGUUUAUUUUGUUUAAAACAAAACCCGCAUUUUCUACAUUUUCUUGAUUAGAAAAAAUCCCAGAUAAAGUUUAUGAGCAAAAAUAGUUUUAAAAUGAUUUUUCUAGUAUCGGUUAGUUUUUGAGAAAUUAAAAGCGUAUUUUGGACGUGGGACCCACUAGUGCGAAAAGUUCGGAAAAUUCGGCCAAUUAGGUUAAAUUCCGGAUACUGUGUAAAAUUUAUCGGGUGUUAAGAGAUAAGUAGAGUGUGUGAAAUGAUUGAUGAGAGAGAGAAAAGAAAGGAUAGGAAUGCAUUUAUUGUAGUGCCACAUGUCACCAUGAUAUUGGUUAGGACUUAAGACUACUAUUCAUGGUUUUGACCUUUUGACUUAUGGAUUAAAUAUCUUCAAAAUUCACAAAAAAAUUACCAUUUUUCACCCCUUGAUGGCCGGCCCUCUCUAGCAAGAAGAAAGACAAAACUCUUCAACAUCUUGGCAAAUUCCUAGCUCAAAUCAUCCAAACUACUUACCUAAAUUAGUUUUUACUCCAUAAAAUCCUUCCACUUGGUAUUAGUGAGUGUUUUGGUGAAGCUUUUGGAGAACUUAAGGUGUCCAACAUCUUCCUCUCUCUUGUUUACUUGGUAAGUAGUGAUUGACUAUCCUCUUACACCUAAUGAUGUUGAAUUUAUGCCUAAUGGUGGCUAUUGUGUUAGAAAUUGUGGUUUAUUUCUUGGUUUGAAGUGAUUUGGUUAAGUUUUUAUUUUUUUGAGGAAUUUUCUGGUUUUAUGUGAUCUUGAUGGUGUGGUUGUUUUUGAUGGUUGGUAAUAAGGGGCUAUGGAUCUAGUAGGUGCAUAUGAUAGGAAAUUGCAACUAAUUUUGGGUUUGGAUUGAAUUGUGGAAAGUUAGGGUUUUAUCACCCCUAAUUCUGUCCGGUUUUAGAUCAUAGGGUUAGAGGCCGAAUUGGACUUUGCUCAAAACAUGAAACUUGUAGGUAUUGAUGAGUUUGAAGUGCCUGCAAAAUUUCAGGGCAUUUGGAGUAGUGUAGAGUGAGUUAUGCCGUUUUUACUGUUGCUGUUCUGGGUGAUCAGAAUGUGCGAACUGUGAUUGUAAUCGUCUGUUUUGACUGGAAUUGCUUUGGAUUUGGAUGUUGGUGUCUUCUGAUGAAAUGUAGCUUGAUGCCUUAGCUAUCAUAUGCCUUUGGAAUCAAUGCAUUUGGACCUGUGUAACUGAGUUGGACGAAUUACAGCAUUGUGUGAUUUGGGAACCUGCAAUUACGAUUCUGGUUUGGUAUUCUGCAUUUUUGACCUAGUUGUGCUAGGAUUUGGACUGAGUGACCUUCUACAUUGUUGUAGCCCUGGUUCUUAGCUUCGAAACGGUGGGUCUUGGACCUCCAUCCGAUACUCGUAAUACCUUUGGUGCCAUUACCGCAAAAGGACGUCAAAACUGUUUUCUGGUUUUGAGCAAUUGUGGUUAAUUGCUUUGUGAUUGGGUUUGAUUGUAGGAUGGAAAGGAUGAAUUUAUGGGGAAAUGCUGUCCGAUUUUUAAUAGCGUUGGUUACCUUAAGUUUCAUGUGAAAGGCUUGGACUUGAAUGAUGGAAUUGGCUAUAUUGGACGAGGAUUGUGAGCCGUGGAGGUGAGUGACCUUAAACUACUUGCAACGUUACUUUAAAAUGUUUCUUGCAUCGUUUCUUUGAUUGCAUAUCCUGUGUGCCGGCAUAUAAGUUCUUGACAUGUUUUGGCUCAAAUGAGUACUUGGAAUUCGUGUGCUAGACUCCGACGUCUCCUCCACCGUUUAAUGUUCCUGUAGGGCACCAAUGGGCUCAAUGUUCAAUGUUAAUGUUCAAUGUUAAAUGAUUGUUUGGAGCGUUGGACGUCUAAGUACCAUGAUUUCACUGGCUCAUGAGAGAAGUGAAAGUGCAUUGAUUGUUGAAGCAUGACAUUAUUGAAAUGAACGAUUGUGAAACUGAUUUGAUAACUGAAUUUCUUGGUUACUCGCUGAGCUUCUAGCUCACCCCAAAAUGUUUUAUUCCCCUCCACAGGGCUCAAGGCGAAGGAGUGGCUUGUAGUGUUUAUCAUGGAUUAUCUCAUGUAUGGACUGAAUUUGGAUUUCCUUUUGUGUAAUCGUUCAUAUUGGGAUUGUAUUGAACGUUUAGAAUUGCUUGGAUGUGUAAUAUGCUAGUUUUGGACUUCCUCCUGUAUCAUAAUUGGGAUCAUGGAUCAGAGUGGCGCAGUGGAAGCGUGGACGCUUCGCUUUUGAUAUGUAAAGUUUGGGAACCUUUGAUGUAUAUUUGAUAUAUAUAUCUUGAAAUUCCAUUGAGAAUUGUAGUGAACGACUGAGUCCUGGCGAGAGCUGGGCAGGCGGCCCGCCGAACCCUCUGGUUCGCCUUAGGGGGAGGUGGGGCCGUUACAGUUGGUAUCACAGCUUAGGCUUCAGAUCUCUAUAGUGUAUCCUAGGCUUGAAGUUUAGGAUGCCGGACUGUGGGUUUGGUUUGAAGUAUUAGUGAUUCUUGCGGGAUGUCUUGACUUGAUUAGUACAAGAGGGAAUGACGAGGACGACAUUCUUUUAAGGAGGGGAGAUUGUGACGCCCCGAAAAAAAAUGAGUUUGAGAACCCGGAAAUUUUCUAAUUUUCUAGGGUUUAUUUUGUUUAAAACAAAACCCGCCUUUUCUACAUUUUCUUGAUUAGAAAAAAUCCCAGAUAAAGUUUAUGAGCAAAAAUAGUUUUAAAAUAAUUUUUCUAGUAUCGGUUAGUUUUUGAGAAAUUAAAAGCGUAUUUUGGACGUGGGACCCACUAGUGCGAAAAGUUCAGAAAAUUCGGCCAAUUAGGUUAAAUUCCGGAUACUAUGUAAAAUUUAUCGGGUGUUAAGAGAUAAGUAGAGUGUGUGAAAUGAUUGAUGAGAGAGAGAAAAGAAAGGAUAGGAAUGCAUUUAUUGUAGUGCCACAUGUCACCAUGAUAUUGGUUAGGACUUAAGACUACUAUUCAUGGUUUUGACCUUUUGACUUAUGGAUUAAAUGUCUUCAAAAUUCACAAAAAAUUACCAUUUUUCACCCCUUGAUGGCCGGCCCUCUCUAGCAAGAAGAAAGACAAAACUCUUCAACAUCUUGGCAAAUUCCUAGCUCAAAUCAUCCAAACUACUUACCUAAAUUAGUUUUUACUCCAUAAAAUCCUUCCACUUGGUGUUAGUGAGUGUUUUGGUGAAGCUUUUGGAGAACUUAAGGUGUCCAACAUCUUCCUCUCUCUUGUUUACUUGGUAAGUAGUGAUUGACUAUCCUCUUACACCUAAUGAUGUUGAAUUUAUGCCUAAUGGUGGCUAUUGUGUUAGAAAUUGUGGUUUAUUUCUUGGUUUGAAGUGAUUUGGUUAAGUUUUUAUUUUUUUGAGGAAUUUUCUGGUUUUAUGUGAUCUUGAUGGUGUGGUUGUUUUUGAUGGUUGGUAAUAAGGGGCUAUGGAUCUAGUAGGUGCAUAUGAUAGGAAAUUGCAACUAAUUUUGGGUUUGGAUUGAAUUGUGGAAAGUUAGGGUUUUAUCACCCCUAAUUCUGUCCGGUUUUAGAUCAUAGGGUUAGAGGCCGAAUUGGACUUUGUUCAAAACAUGAAACUUGUAGGUAUUGAUGAGUUUGAAGUGCCUGCAAAAUUUCAGGGCAUUUGGAGUAGUGUAGAGUGAGUUAUGCCGUUUUUACUGUUGCUGUUCUGGGUGAUCAGAAUGUGCGAACUGUGAUUGUAAUCGUCUGUUUUGACUGGAAUUGCUUUGGAUUUGGAUGUUGGUGUCUUCUGAUGAAAUGUAGCUUGAUGCCUUAGCUAUCAUAUGCCUUUGGAAUCAAUGCAUUUGGACCUGUGUAGACUGAGUUGGACGAAUUACAGCAUUGUGUGAUUUGGGAACCUGCAAUUACGAUUCUGGUUUGGUAUUCUGCAUUUUUGACCUAGUUGUGCUAGGAUUUGGACUGAGUGACCUUCUACAUUGUUGUAGCCCUGGUUCUUAGCUUCGAAACGGUGGGUCUUGGACCUCCAUCCGAUACUCGUAAUACCUUUGGUGCCAUUACCGCAAAAGGACGUCAAAACUGUUUUCUGGUUUUGAGCAAUUGUGGUUAAUUGCUUUGUGAUUGGGUUUGAUUGUAGGAUGGAAAGGAUGAAUUUAUGGGGAAAUGCUGUCCGAUUUUUAAUAGCGUUGGUUACCUUAAGUUUCAUGUGAAAGGCUUGGACUUGAAUGAUGGAAUUGGCUAUAUUGGACGAGGAUUGUGAGCCGUGGAGGUGAGUGACCUUAAACUACUUGCAACGUUACUUUAAAAUGUUUCUUGCAUCGUUUCUUUGAUUGCAUAUCCUGUGUGCCGGCAUAUAAGUUCUUGACAUGUUUUGGCUCAAAUGAGUACUUGGAAUUCGUGUGCUAGACUCCGACGUCUCCUCCACCGUUUAAUGUUCCUGUAGGGCACCAAUGGGCUCAAUGUUCAAUGUUAAUGUUCAAUGUUAAAUGAUUGUUUGGAGCGUUGGACGUCUAAGUACCAUGAUUUCACUGGCUCAUGAGAGAAGUGAAAGUGCAUUGAUUGUUGAAGCAUGACAUUAUUGAAAUGAACGAUUGUGAAACUGAUUUGAUAACUGAAUUUCUUGGUUACUCGCUGAGCUUCUAGCUCACCCCAAAAUGUUUUAUUCCCCUCCACAGGGCUCAAGGCGAAGGAGUGGCUUGUAGUGUUUAUCAUGGAUUAUCUCAUGUAUGGACUGAAUUUGGAUUUCCUUUUGUGUAAUCGUUCAUAUUGGGAUUGUAUUGAACGUUUAGAAUUGCUUGGAUGUGUAAUAGGCUAGUUUUGGACUUCCUCCUGUAUCAUAAUUGGGAUCAUGGAUCAGAGUGGCGCAGUGGAAGCGUGGACGCUUCGCUUUUGAUAUGUAAAGUUUGGGAACCUUUGAUGUAUAUUUGAUAUAUAUAUCUUGAAAUUCCAUUGAGGAUUGUAGUGAACGACUGAGUCCUGGCGAGAGCUGGGCAGGCGGCCCGCCGAACCCUCUGGUUCGCCUUAGGGGGAGGUGGGGCCGUUACACACAGUGCCCUAGCCUCAGCUUGCAAUGACGUCACAUUUCUAUACAGCUCCGAAUAUGCAAAAAUCACCCGACCCUUAGAAUCCCUCGGUACUCCCCCUCCUCCGCCUGUGAAUGGGUGAUGACAGACCCAUCAAAAUUGAGCUUCACCACCGCUGCCGUUGGGUGGACCCACCGCACAUACCGCACAUACCGCACCUGGACAGGGAGACGGACUUCACCAAGGCGUCGGAUCACCGCCUGCCAGCUACACCCCCGCACCUGACAUCGAAGGAAUGGAAACUGAGAUCCAAGUAAGUCCCUAAAGUCACCCAAUAUUCUAUUCGAGAUGAUCUCCGCUGAAAGGACCUGUCCAUCGUAAACAAACCCACAUCGCGCCUUCCACAAAUGCCAUAAAAUAAUUGCUGGCCCAACGUGCAAUACCCAUCGCAAGAUCCAAUGAUGCGACUGUGCAAACCACCAGGACAUACACCGAUCACGGAUCGAUCUGCCGAGAGAAGAGACUCCAAAUGGCGAUCCAAAGAAACCCCAGAUUGCCGUGGGAAUGUCCCCCAUGGAAAAAAUAUGUUGCAUGGUCUCAAGUUGCGGCUCGCUACAACAGAAUUAUAUCUUGGAAAUAUUAGACAUAAAGAGCAGGAUCUUUAGCAUGAUUUGUAAACUAUAAUUAAGAGAUAAAUUCUAAAUUGGCAUACCUUGUGACAUUGAAGACAUUUUGGAGAAGAAUUCUACAGCUCUGUAUCACCAAGCCUUUCAAUCUCCAAGGUUGUAAUGAUACGAACUCGACCCAACAAGAACCUGUCUUGAAGAACCAAAUUGAUCAGGCAGCGGAAGGAUCUAUCUUGAUUAGGUUAUGGAACAAUAACUACCUUGCUAGAUUUAAAGAGAACUCGUCUCUAGAAACCUAGUGGAUUAGUUAUUGACUUGAAAAAAACAAGAUGAUGUGAUCAUCUUGUCUUGAACACCACAAGUAUCCAAGCUAAUACUUGAUACAGUUCAAGAAGAAACUCAAGUUCCAUCAAGGAACUCCAUAAAAGGAGACAACUCUCUUUUUAUUAAUUCAUCUUCAACAUCAUAUUUUUUGAAUAGUUAAAUUAAGUUGGCUAUUUAUAACCUUACAAGACUCAAAACCCUAAUCUAAAUUGAAAACAAUACAAGUUUCCUUAUUUGACUUGACUUCUAAACUUGACACAACUUCCUAAAUAAAUUUGGAAGCAAUUUAACUACUUUCCUAAAACUCUAAUUCAACUAGAAUAGGAAACUAGCUAACUCAAAUUGGCUUAACUAUGGUCAACAUGACCUUAGCCUUUAUUCCCUAAUUCAAACAACUUACUUAACUCUCAAAUUAACUCUAAUUAACAACUAACAUUGCUGAAAACUCAAUUAAAUAAAUGAUAACAAGAAAUAAGCAUGACACGGGGUUGGAUCUUCAAUGAUUCUCGAGCCCGAUUGCACCAUCAACCAUCAAAUGAAUUUUCCUUGAAUUUGAAGGGAAUCCGAAUCUUCAUGUUCUCAUCAUGUAAACUAUCGCUUUAUGCUAUCCAGCCUUCCCUCACCUAACUCCCUUUUUUGUUAUUUUAGUGAUGGGUAAAAAUAACGUAUGUCAGAGUGGUGAGAAGGACCAAGAGCCCUAGAACAUUUAUAGAGUCACAAUCCCUCCCAUCAUGGGAUAAUGAUAAACUCUAAUUUUCUUAUCGUACUUUAUUUGUUAACCAUAAUGAUAAGAUACAGUUUAAAAUUACUGUAAUUAUCAGAUAAAGUACCACAAUAAAUAUCAUAUAAUAUGUUCACAUACAAUGAAUAUGGGACUCCCUACUUCCUCCAAUCAUCUAUUCUCAUUAGAGCUCUGUAAUUGGUUAUUCAUAUUUAUUCAUAUGGUUAUUCAUCCUUCUAAUUAACGGGAGUUAUCUUAAUAAUAUUAUACGUGGUCAUGUAGGCCACAUAAAUAUUCUAAUAGGAAAAUCUUCUUAAUUUGUAUAGUAUCUUGCACAAUCCAACUUGGAAAGUCGUACUACUAAUUUGGGAAGCAAAAGAAACGGAGGAUCGCGCCUAAUCUUUGGCCAUUUUGUUCAAUAUUUCUCCCAUUUUACAUUAACCCCUAGUUUGGUAUGUGAAAAUGUCCAGAAUAAAAAAAAUCUUUCCACUUGGAAUACCUUUUCACCAUGAUGGUAGGGAGAAAAAUUUAUCAUUUUACUGUCUAGUAUAUAAGGCAAAAUAGAAUGUUCAUUCAUUUUUAAGUGUUUGAAAUAAUCAAUAUUAAAAUACCAAAAUACAUUACAGUCGAUACAAAUUUGAUUUAAUUACCCUAAAUUAGUUUACGGGACACAACAUGCUUUAUUACUUUUGUCUUGUUGGUUCUAUUGUGUUAUUUGUUUGUUUACAUGGAAUUUUGACAUUUUUUGUAUUCGAAAUAAUUGAUAAUUGAUAUUAAAAUAGUUCAAUUGUAAUAAUUGAUUCAUUCUAGAAUAUAGACCUUUACAUUCAACUGUUGCAUCUUCUGGCCAUAUAAUUAAUAUAAAUUAUAUGAAUCUAAACAAAUAUAAUAUAAUUUCGAUUCUUAUUAAAAUUUGACACUCCUAAGAAGUUGUAUGAAUUAUCAAAAAAUUGAACAAAGUACUUAUAUUGCUUGUACGCAAAAUAUUUAAGAUUGACGAACAAAACGAUGGCCUGCUGCCUACAUUCUUUCACUUUCUCACUCUCUAUCUCUUCCUCUAGAGAGAGAAAGAGAAAAAAAUGGUGGUACAGAACGGACUCUCUCAAUUUUUUCUUUUGCCUCCCUGAUUUUCUUUUUCCAAGGUUUCUUGCCCUUACUUUCUUCUACCCAACUAAUUGCCCAAUUCUUGUUGGGGCUGAACCUAUCUAUCUAUGUGUGAUUCAAGAAAGAAAUAAAACUAAAACUGCUGCUGCGCGCCUUAAUUGGUCCUCCGUCGUCUUUGCCACUGAACGGAUUCCUUCAUUUUUUUUUUAGGUGUGGCUAGAUAUUGAAAGGGUUGAAGAAAAUUUAAGAUUGAAUUUGAGUCUUUGCACUUGCAAUUAAUUUGUAGGUGUUCUUGGUUUCUUACAGUUGAUGACGGAUUAUUACUGACGAGUUCCAUGGGAACUAUCUUCAGUUACAAAUAGAAAUAAACUGGAAAUUAUUUCAUAGAAUGGUACCUAAGAUAAUGAUUGUGAAAUCAGUAUUCAUCGCAAGCAGAUUGUCAUAAUUAAAGAUGUAAAGAUAUAUAAGACUGUAGCCAGUUUGUGAUCGCUAUAAAAAUAGAAAAUAAUAUAAUAUAUCAUUUGUCCAAACAUAAUAAUUCCAACUUCACACAAGUUAAACGAAUUCAUUUAGGAUUAAGUCGUUAAUGCCUUUGAGAAAAAAAGAAUAACUUAGUUUAGUUAGAUAAAAUAUUUUUAUAUUUAUUAAAUUAUUUUUAAUUCAUAAACGGUGAUCAAGUCAACCCGUUGGUGACUUGAAUUCGACCUUUUUUUUUUCAGGUUCAUCGGGUUCGACCCAAUUCUAACUCAAACCCAUUAAUUUCAACCCAAACCCAUUAAUUUCAUGUUAGAUUCAUAUUAUAUUUUCAGGUCGUAUCGAAAAUUGCCUCCUCUAGAUUUAACUUACCAAAAAAGAAAAAGUAAAUUUCAGCUGCAAAGCUUUGAGUAAUUUUGAAGUGGGAAAAUCAUUUGAAAAGCUCUUCACAUUUCACUAAAUGAAUUUUUUUUUUGUCUUUCACUUUUAAAAUAAUAAAUUUACGUUUCUUAAAAAAUCAAAUCUGUAAAAUUAAGUUCAACCUAGGUUUUCGACUACUUUUUACACUGAAUUUAUCAUGUAACCCAAAUAUGAUCAUUUUUUCGGAACAGAAAGGUUAAAUCUCAUUUGUAGUCGAACAAAUGGCUUGAUCCAAAAGAGUAAGAUCUGACCUAAAUCAUAUUUAUUUUUUCCUGAAAAGUGGGAUCUGAUUUAAUUCAUAUUCAUUUUUAUCCUAAAAAAAUGAAAUUUGACUUUUUUAUACAUAAAAAAUGAUUGCAUGUGAACCACAUGGUGAUUUCAAGCUAAUGUUUUUGGUAAAAAACUUAGAUUCGAACAAAAUUUUGUUAACUUGAAUUUGUAAGGGACAUAAAGCUAAUAUUUUAAAAAUGAAGAACCAAAAAAUUUAUUUAACAAAAUAUAGGAGACGUUUUGAAAGAUUUUCACUUUUGAAGUUCAGUCUUUUGAAUACUGCCUAUCCUUUGAUUUCCUAUUGUACUGCUUUUCAGUGAUUUAUUGAGAGCUCCUAUUUGGAAAUGGUCAAACCUAACAACGGAUCUCAGCGUUAUUUGAAACCAUGAAAACUGCAAAGACAAGUUGGUCAUUAAAAAAUCUACUACAGCCAACGACAUUAGCCUUAUUUGAAUUGCAAGUUUUCACAAACAAAUUUUGAAAUAUUUUUUAGUCACAUAUUUAUCUUAUAGAUGUUAUAUUAAUUAUUAUAAUAUAUUUUUCUAUGAAACUCUAUGAAAUUAUAUACGUUCUAUUAUCUUAUAUACGUCAUGUCACUAUAUAGUAUAUUUUUCUAAGAAACUCUGUAAACUUACAAUUCAAACUGUAACUUUUCAUUUUAGUGCGUCCUUUCUAAGUGAUUUUAGUGCGUCCACUUCAAUUCAUGCAUGAUAGUCCAGAAUUCUGUAGAAGGACAAUAAUUUAGGAAGGACUGGAAAAUUCAAUGGAAACAAGACAUGUCGCAUUCGGAAGUGCGAUAAUGUAAUCAACCUCACUAUUAAAAGAAGAACAAGAUUGUAUAAAUCCAUACAUCAAAUCCGUAUUCAAUAGCUUUAGUCGAAAUUCGUGCUCCCCAAGAAAGUACAAGUGAACUUCUUAUUCAUCAAAUGUGCAUAAACAAUAUGAUGUGGCCUAGAGAAAAGUUCAAGCUAAGAUGCUCAAGUAUAAGAUAAAAUUGAGUGAAGGGAGAAGGUUGAUUUAGACCUAUUCAUCAUCAAUUUUGAUUUACAUAUUCCAAUCUGUUGCCACAAAAAAAAAUCAAGCACAGGGAAAAUUAUUUUAAUAUAUAUAAAAAUAUGUGAAAAGAGGAAGAGAAUAAAUACACAAUAUAACUUAAAUAAUUUUAUAAACUAAACUCAACAUUAAUACUCACAAAUAACAAUUUGAGAAGCUUUCUCUCAAUGUCCUUCAAGAAAACAAUGAGAUGGUACUACUCAAUUUAUAGAGUAUCCAACGGACUAUAGUUACAAAGGAAUACGACAAUGGGCAAAUAUAUAUAUAUAUAUAUAUAUAUAUAUAUAUAUAUAUAUAUUGCAAUUCUGAACAGGCGAGGAGUAUCCCUCUCCCAAAAUGAUAAAUGUAACUUGCUAAACUUGAAUGACCAGACAUUAGGAAAUAUUUCUUUGCCGCAUCAACUUCUAAAUUCUUCAACUCACUAGACUAACCAAAAAAAAAAAAGAGUUGCCACAUAACUAAUUUAAUUUAAUAAUUAGUCUUGGUUUAAUUACCUGCUGGACUUGGAUUUUAUCUCGGGAUAAAACUCAAAUCCAACAAAAUAACGGUUGGUGGGAUAAAACUCAAAUCUAACAUUGUCUACACAACCAUUAAUCAUCUUUCUUGGGCAAUUACAUAAUCAAUCCAAUCUUGCUAAUUGUCAGCCUUGAAGGACAACGCUUGGAAAUUAAUUAACAGCUUAUCAUAUGCACUACAAAAUACAGAAGUUUAAUCCAUAGGUUUAUUUGUAGACCAUGUAAUCAAUUGGUGAGCCACACUCACCAAUUGAUUCAGUGAUGUAUGUUUAUAUUACUAGCAUUAGAUUAUAAAGAAAAUUGAUGUGGCUAUAGAGUUCAAAAAUAUCUUUCAAACCCGUUUAGAUUAGGUUAGGAUACGCCAAGAACGAGAUAUGGGAGGAUAACAGUUGCAUGUUUUUAAUUGUCGGCUGUCUAUUCUGUAUCGACGUGGAGACUUGGAGCCGCGAGCUUAGAAAUUAGUGACUUUCAUAACUUAGGACAGGUUAGGUAAGUACAAUAAUUGCCCCAUCCAUUAUUACGCACUCAAAGGGACCCAUUUCACAUUAUCCUGCUCGGGAUGUUUGCAUUUAAUUUGCUGGGCAUUUAUCUGAAAGGAAUAUUCUUUUAGAUGCGUUACAUGCCAAACGAUAGCAAUAAUUAGAACUGUACAAUUUGUAUGAAGAGUUGGAGUCAGUCCCAUUCGCUCUUGAGCUGCUGUGUUUCACAUUUCUAUGUUGCACUACUAUUUUAUGACUCGUCGAGAGAGACAUUCUAUUGUGUCCGGAAAAAAAAAAGAAUUGGAUUUUUAUUCAUUAUUGCAUCGGAUAUGUCAUUGGUGGAGUCAGAACCUUGUGAUAAGGGUGCAAUGACCAAUUUCAGUGUAAAUCAUACUUUUAGGCUUAGUUUGGGAGUUUAGGAUAGAAAAGAAAGGAAGGGAAAACUCAAGUUAUGAGAGAAGAGAAGAGAAGAAGGGAUUGUUAUAUUGUUUGGGAGCGUUGAAAAUUAGUGGAAUGAUUUUGGAUAUGAAAAUCAUUAAAUAUCUGUUUAAUACCUUUUUAAGGACAAAUAGGUAUUUUAAAAAAAUUGAUAAGCUUCUGAUGCGACUGCCGAGAGCGCGUUCCGAGCUGAGCUGCGCUAGGCUGAACGAACUAAGGAUGACUGAACUGGUACUAGCGGGGUGAGCGAGCUGACCUGCAAGAAAGACCGGGGCUGGUUCCUCGGUGUAGCUCUGACGGUCAAGUCAGUACGAGUUUAAGAGUAGGGUAACAACGUAGAUAUUGUUGAUGGCGUACCUUGCUUUGUCUUGUGGUGGUGUAUUUAUAAGAUCCCGAGUAGUAGUUUCCCUAUAGGAUUAGAAGUCCGACUAGAAAGGGAGUCUUUCUAGGGUUUCGUCUGCUAAUUUCGAAAGGUUCGGGGGCUGCGACCCACCAGGCCCAUCCAAUUGGGAGGCGGCGCCCAUGCGCGAACUGUCCUCCCUCCUGCCCGAGCUGUUUGGCCGAACUGCCAGGUCACAAUGUCCGAACUGACACGUGGCUCCUGCGGAUUGGCCCCACUACACUAGCCCCCCUUUGAGUCUAUAGUCAUCGAAAGAUCGCAUGAAUCAGGACCGAAUUUCGAGGUGACGGGUCAGUUCGGUGUGGGACCCAUAAUCCCACGAUUGCUGCCUUUGCUCGAGUAACCGUCACUUCAAGCGUUACGUCCCUUCAUAAUGACGGUUACCAGCCCAAUCGUCGCGCAAUACAGCGGUCUUUCGAUAAAUAAAUUUUAAUUUUAAUUUGGGACGCUUGACAGGUGCUGAACCUGUGCAAUAAUAAUAAUAAAUAAACCUAACUACCACCAACGCAGUCAAUAACCAAUUCUAGGUACUGGAACAGAGACUCUAGGUGUGCAAUGGGUUACUUGAUUCACCCUGUUCCCAAAGAGUUUGCUUAAUCCGAUAUACCAGAAUUAAUUAGUUGACAAAAUUUACUAACUAGUAGACAGUGGCAAGCAGGGUCGUCUCCUCAGGGAUUGGAGAUAUUUGUCUCUUUGAAGUUCCAAUUAGUAAAAAUGGGGGUUUUAUCGGAAUAAAACUAAAAAUAUUUAAGCAAUUCAACUAAAAAUAAAUAAUUAACUAGCACGAAUGUAGACAGGAAUUAAAUCAAGAAUAGAUAAAUUCUAACCAAGAAUACAACUACUCAGACACAGUCCAUUCAUCCAAUCAUUGAUGCAAGAGAUGUUCACUUAAUUUAUUAAUAGAUUAGUUAUAGUCGCCGACGAGCUCUGACGACCAAUUUUUCCUUAAUUUAUUGAUAACCAAGGUACGACAAUUGAUUACUUCUAACCAGAAAAUACUCCUAGGUAGGACCAUAGGAAUUAAUUUCUCAAUUGCAUUAAGAAUUAGAAAAACCUAACUCCAAUCAAUAACACGCUACGAGGGUUAUUCAAAUCAGAUUGCACGUCCCCCUAGUGUGUAAAAACGCUAGUUGCCACUGAUAUUAAUCGAUUAAAUAAUUACGGAUUUAAUUGACUAAUUUGGCAGGAGAUUAAUAAGUCGCAUUGAACAUUGGGCCCUUGACAUUUAAUUAACUAAAUAAUCCCAUAGAAAUUCAAACAGACAACGUGCAAAUAUUAACAAAUUAAGAAACACAUGAAAAUUAAUUCGAUCUCACAGAUAUUCGGGACUGCGUCGUCGCGUUGAUUCUUGACUAGAUGAAAAGCUUAAUCACACCGCAUAAGUAAAUCUCCACGCAAAUUAAUUGAUUCACAAGCCAUCACAUUUGUCACUAGAUAAUCAAGAAGUAAACGAUGUUUCUCCAGUCGGGACUUUUGUCGAACAAGAGUCACGCAUGAAAAGGAAAAGAAAGAAAACUAAACUGUCUCUAAACAAUGACUAAUGCUCCCUCCGUCGUUCUUGCCGCAUUGAGAGAAAAGGUACAAAAAGAAAGCUCUGCCGAAUUCCUGGUAUUUCGUUUCCUCUUGGUAGGAGGACUCCUAGUCAGCAACUCUUCAUCAACAAAAGGAAAAGGGAGUCGUUGCUUAGUACCCUGUGGGCCAGAUUCGUGAAGCUUUUUGAAGUCUCCCACGUGUGGAGCAAUUUUCUCCAACAGGUCCCCCUUUUUAGCACUUUUCAGUUCCACUUCCUGUAGAUGGUCCAAAUACCAAAUAUAAGUAUAUAUUAACAAUUUAAAACAAUAUUUGGUAAGGACAAAAGGGAAAAUUAACAAUAAAAUUACUAACAAUUAACACCCUAUCAAUUCCCCCCAUACCUAAAUCAUGUUUGCCUUCAAGUAUGAGAACAACUAAACCCAACAAUGGUCAACUCUCACGUCAUCUAUUUUCAAGCUGUGUUUAUACCAAAAUCAAGGUUCAGUGGCCAAGUGUCAAGACACAAUCCUCUCGGUUAGCUCCUGAAAUCACAGACUCGUCUAAUUCAUGGCUAACUCAUCUAGAAAAUCAAAAUAUUAAACUAGCAAUAGUCAGGAAUUGGUCCAACUGGCGACCAAAAUCUCAACAUUGAAGAACAAGGAUCGGCAGGCCAACAUGAUCAUAAGCUUACAUAUUUUUCACAUCUGUUCUUUUUCUUUCUUCCUUUUUUUUCUUUUUCUUUUUUUUUCUUUGUUUUUCUUCUUUUUUGAACGAAUAAAUGCUUAGUCCCAAGCCAUUCAAGUCUUUUGACAUGAAUUCUAACAUUUUUAGAUGAAAGAGUUCAGUUACUCAACUUUUCACCGCUUCAAGACCACCUACUCAUAGAUAUCGCCACUGUUUUGACGCGAGAGUCGACACUUGUGGUGACGACUCCCGGUUACUGGGUGACGACACUAGCGAAGUAUAGCCAUAUGUUAUUCACAACAAAACACCAAAAUAUCAGACAAUUAAAGAACAUGGCCCACGUCAUCUCCUAAACAUGGAGAACUAAGGUCAACAGGGGACCAAUCCAUACAACAGUUGCCAGCAAAAUAUUUAUAUUGCCUAAACAAGUUAACCACAAUUCGCACAAAGUUAUUAAACUCACAGUAUUCACCAAGACAAUAUGCUCUUACUUGCCACCGAAGCUAAAUUUAUAGAAUAAAACACAUCUAGCAAUAGAAGAGUGAGUUGCCAAUCAAUUGUUGAUCACCAAGAUAAGCAGUACCAAAAACAAAAAAUAAAGAGACACCAGUUGAACCCCCCCACAACCGAAUGGUACAUUGCCCUCAAUGUAACAAAUAAACAGCAAAAACAAGAAGAAAGGCAACGAAACUUCCCUGAAGUCGGGGUCACAGCGGUGGGUGAGGCGGAAAUGGUGCUUGAUGAAGCGGCAGCGAGUGCAAGAGGCGGUGGCGGCGCUUGGCAGUCGUGCGCGAGGAGGUGGCAAAGGGAAAAAGCAGCGGCGAUAAAGGAGGGUUUCGGCCGAAAUAGAAAAGGGAGAAGGAGAAGCAGGGCAAAAGAGGAAGAAAAGGGAAAGAAAGAAAGAAAAGAAAAAAAGAAAGAAAAAAAGAAAAAUAGUUUUUUGGGGUUUUCUCUCUUUUUUUUUUAAGUCAAAAUUUAAAAUUUGGUAUUUGAAAAUCGAAAUUCUGAGUUGAACGGGAAAUAUUUUUAAUUUUCAAUUUUUUAAUUUUUAAUUUUAAUUUUUUAAUUUUAAUUUUUUUUUAGGAUCUUGGGUCGUCAAAUAUGACGUGGGCACGCCAAAAUUAUAAAACGUCCAUUGACCUUGGGAGUCACUUUUUGCAACUUAACGCGUGCCCUCCUCGCGUAGGCACGCCAAGAUUCCAUUUCCUGCUGACGUCGCGAGAUGUUGAGAUUUUACCAACAUGGCGUGGGCACGCCAAGAUUGAUAAACGUCCACUGACCUUGGGAGUCACUUUUUGCGUGCCCUCCUCGCGUGGGCACGCCAAGAUUCCCUGUCCUGGUCACAGUGGGAAAAAAUAUGAAAAUUGACUAGUAGCCAAAUGAGAAACGACAAAUCGAAAGAAUUAAACAACAAAACAAAAAAAAAUAACAAAACAAAUAUUUGGAUUGCCUCCCAAAAAGCGCCUUUCUUUAACGCCUUUGGCUAGACGUUAAACAUCACUUCAAUUUGGAUGUAAUUCAAUUUUCGUUGUAAUUUGUGGCCUUCCUCCGGGAUCCAAAUAGCCAUUGAGUGUAACUUUUUUCCUUAAUUUUUUACUCAUUUUCACCUCAUGAAUUGCUUUCAUCCCAUGAUACUUGUUCGCAGCAACUUUAAAUUUACCCCUACAAGUAAAUUCAGAAAAUUCUUGCACAGAGGGAUUAGUAGCAUGCAUAGCGAACACAGAGUGAGAGUUUAUAGGAUGUUUCAUUGUAUCAAAAAUAUUAAAAUGGACUAUUUCUCCAUCAAAUUUCAUUGUAAGAGUACCCUUACUAACAUCAAUCUUAGUUUCGGCAGUACUCAAGAAUGACCUUCCUAAUAUAAUGGGUGAUGGAUUUGGGGCACUUUCAUCAUCCAUGUAAAGCAUAUAAAAAUCAGCAAGAAAAAUUAAUCCAUCUACUUGCACUAAAACAUCCUCAACUACCCCAUCCGGGUAAGCAAAUGUACGAUCAGCCAAUUGAAUUAUUAUCCCUAUUUCUUUCAAAGGUCCUAAAUUUAGAGAAUCAUAGAUUGAUUUAGGCAUUACAUUAAUAGAAGCUCCUAAAUCUAGCAUGGCAUUUUUUAUAUUAGAAUGUCCAAUCUUACAGGGGAUAGUAAACAUACCUGGAUCCCCAUAUUUAGGUGGUAGUUUCCUUUGUAGAAACGCUGAAACGUUCUCACCUACCACAAUAUGCUCAUCCCCCCUCAUCUUCUUCUUGUUGAUACACAAGUUUUUCAAGCAUUUAGCAUAUUUUGGCACUUGCUUGAUCGCGUUCAACAAAGGGAUAUUGAUUGCCACCUUUUGAAACACUUCUAGAAUCUCAUUUUCCUUAUCUUGCUUCUUCGAUUUCUCCAACCUGCUAGGAAAAAGCGGUGGGUUAGUUUUAACUAUAAUGAAUGGGUCCAGGAGUACCUUUGGAUCCUUGUUGCUUCUGCCCUGCUCUUCAAACUCUUUCUCAAUUCGUUCCUCAUCCUUGUCCUUAGGAAUCACGAGCUCGGGUCCUUGGAUUUGCUUUCCACUCCUCAAGGUCAUUGCGCUCACAUUCUUCAAGUUCAGUUCAGGUUGAGACGGCAAUUUUCCAUAAGUUUGAGAUUCCAGGUAGUUGAUUGCUAUUGCCAUCUGACUCAUCUGACUCAUCUGACUCUACAUUACUUGCACCUGUCCCAGUUGAUUCCUCAUAUUUUAUAGGUCAGAAUCCGUCUUUUACUGAUUAGCAAUUAAUUGCUUCAUCAUCUCUUCCAUAGACGGGCUUGAGUUUGAAGGGGGUGGUGGCAGGCGAGAUUGAUACUGUUGUUAGUACCCUUGUUAUCUAUUUGGUGCAAAAUUCGACUGCCUAUUUCCUCCAUAACUAAAGUUAGGAUGAUCUCUCCAACCCGAAUUGUACGUAUUGGAGUAUGGGUCGUAUGGCUGUCUUGGCGCGGGCGCGUGACCAGCCAUGUUCACUUGUUCCUCACUUUCUUCCUGAACCAAUGGACACAUCUCUGUAGAGUGACCCAAGGUAGCGCAUAUCCCACAUACCUUGGCUUGUGAGGCACUUUCCACAGCUAGUUAUCGCACGAAAGACGUCAAUUCAGAGAUUUGUUGUUGGAUGGAGGAUGUUUCUACCUCAUUCAUCGUACGCGUCGGGGUGUCCUCUCUUGAACUGAACUGCUGUGAAUUCUCAGCCAUCCCUUCAAUCAACUCCUAUGCUUCUCGAGGAGUCUUGUUCACCAAUGCUCCUCCACUCGCAGCAUCGAUUAUACUUCUGUUCCUGAAGAGUAAUCCCUCAGAGAAAUAUUGGAUGAGCAGUUGCUCACUUAUCUGAUGCUGAGGGCAUUUGAUGCACAACUUUUUAAACCUCUCCCAGUACUCAUAGAGGGACUCGUCUGGGUGUUGUUUGAUACCGCAUAUCUCCUUCCUCAGACUUGCAGCUCGAGACGCAGGAAAAUAUUUGUCCAAGAAUUUUUUCUUCAAUUGGUCCCACGUGGUAAUAUUACCUGGUGGUAGGUAGUACAACCAGUCUUUUGCAGAGUCCUUCAAGGAGAAGGGGAAGACCCUCAUUUUUAUCUGCUCUUCUGUGAUUCCCGGGGGUUUCAUACUGUUACAAACGACGUCGAAUUCUUGCAAGUGCUUAUAGGGCUCCUCUCCUGGUAGACCAUGGAAAGAUGGCAAGAGGUGAAUUAGAUCAGAUUUUAGUUCAAAGGGAGUGUUAUCAUUCAAACUUGGGAAAGUAAUGCAUAAAGGUUGCUGAUUUAAAUUAGGAGCAGCGAACUCCCUUAAUGUUCGUGCAUUAGUCAUAGUGACUUUCUCUUGAUCCGAGUCACUCGAAGUGUCACCAAACGAAUCUGUUGGUUCAACUUCUAGCUCAGGUCUCUGAAAUGUAUCACUGAAGUGCUCUUCUCUGAGUUGUCUGGUCUCUUUCCUUGUUCUACGCACAGUCUUCUCUACCUCGGGGUCGAAAAUUAAUUCACCUGUACAAGAAGAACGAGGCAUACACUUGAAAAGAAUUAAAAAUUAGAAAAAAAUGAACUUAAAAAGAAGCAAAUAACUGACGCCAAUCCCCAGUAACGGCACCAAAAAUUGACAGGUGCCAAACCUGUUCAAUAAUAAAAUAAAUAAACUAACUACCAUUAACGCAGUCAAUAAUCAAUUCUAGAUACUGGAGCAGGGACUCUAGGUGUGCAAUGGAUUACUUGAUUCCUGUUCCCGAAGAGUUUGCUUAAUCCGAUAUACCAGAAUUAAUUAGUUGACAAAAUUUAUUAACUAAUAGACAGUGGCAAGCAGGGUCGUCUCCUCAGGGACUGAGGAUAUUUGUCUCUUUGAAGUUCCAAUUGGUAAAAAGGGGGGUUUUAUCGGAAUAAAACUAAAAAUAUUUAAGCAAUUCAACUAAAAACAAAUAAUUAACUAGCACGAAUGUAGAAAGGAAUUAAAUCAAGAAUAGAUAAAUUCUAACCAAGAAUACAACUAUUCAGACACAGUCCAUUCAUCCAAUCAUUGAUGCAAGGGAUGUUCACUUAAUUUAUUAAUAGGUUAGUUAUAGUCGCCAACGAGAGUUCUGACGACCAAUUUUUCCUUAAUUUAUUGAUAAUCAAGGUACGACCAUUGAUUACUGCUAACCAGAAAAUACUCCUAGGUACGACCAUAGAAAUUAAUUCUCCAAUUGCAUUAAGAACUAGAAAAACCUAAUCCCAAUCAAUAACACGCUACGAGGGUUAUUCAAAUCAGAUUGCGCGUCCCCUUAGUGUGUAAAAAUGCUAGUUGCCACUGAUAUUAAUCGAUUAAAUAAUUACGGAUUUAAUUGACUAAUUUGGCAGGCGAUUAAUAAGUCGCAUUGAACAUCGGGCCCUUGACAUUCAAUUAACUAAAUAAUCCCAUAGAAAUUCAAACAGACAACGUGCAAAUAUUAACAAAUUAAGGAACACAUGAAAAUUAAUUCGAUCUCACAGAUAUUCGAGACUGCGUCGUCGCGUUGAUCCUUAACUAGAUGAAAAGCUUAAUCACGCCGCAUAAGUAAAUCUCCACGCAAAUUAAUUGAUUCACAAGGCAUCACGUUUGUCACUAGAUAAUCAAGAAGUAAACGAUGUUUCUCCAAUCGGGACUUUUGUCGAAAAAGAGUCACGCAUGAAAAGGAAAGAAAGAAAACUAAACUGUCUCUAAACAAUGACUAAUGCUCCCUCCGUCGUUCCUGCCGCAUUGAGAGAAAAGGUACAAAAAGAAAGCUCUGCCGAAUUCCUGGUAUUUCGUUUCCUCUUGGUAGGAGGACUCCUAGUCAGCAACUCUUCAUCAACAAAAGGAAAAGGGAGUCCGUUGCUUAGUACCCUGUGAGCCAGAUUCGUGAAGCUUUUUGAAGUCUCCCACGUGUGGAGCAAUUUUCUCCAACAGGUCCCCCUUUUUAGCAUUUUUCAAUUCCACUUCCUGUAGAUGGUCAAAAUAUCAAAUAUAAGUAUAUAUUAACAAUUUAAAACAAUAUUUGGUAAGGACAAAAGGAAAAAUUAAUAAUAAAAUUACUAACAAUUAACACCCUAUCAACGCUUCGUCUUCCCGCUCUGGUGGCCUAUAAAUAGGCUCCACUAGAUGUCACUUUCACGCUUUCUUCCUCAUUUUCUCAGCUCCCCAUCUUUUACUCAGCUCGCUCAUCUCCUCCUCCUACGAGAGUUAGUUCGGGCGUCCUGUCAAGAGUUCAGUCGUGCACUGCUGUCCGUGCGUCUCCCCUAAGCACCACUGAGCGCUCGAGCUCUUUUCCCCUACUCUUACUAGUAAGUUCCUUUUCUCCCUCCUUUUAUAUCUUCUUCCUCUGAGCAUUCUGACAUAACUAGUUCGGCCCCUAGGCGUAGAGUAGCCCGACCUGUACCCAUAAAGGUCAUCUCUUCCUCUCCUUCUCCUUCCAGUUCUUCACCUUCCAGCUCGUUAGAGUCAGAAUAUAUUCCUUCCCCUGCUCUUUCUCCUGUUCGAGCAAUGGCUCAACCCGAACAGCCUAUUCAGCCGAACAACCUAUUCAGCUUGCAGCUAGAACUGCUGCCAAGCAGUUCCACUUGAGGCAACUCCUCUACGAGCUAGGGCAGGGCCCUCCAGGGGGCCCGAUAUUGACUUCGGUGAAGUGGAUCUUAUCCCUCCCAUCCUGGAUCAGGGGGAUGUGGACGAAUAACCCAGCUCAUCCCUCCCAAAGGGGACUAGUGUUGUGGGGCCAAUCCGCAGGAUCGGGAUCGGGACGAUAAGGUUGUCAUGUAAUUGAUGCGACUGCCGAGAGCGCGUUCCGAGCUGAGCUGCGCUGGGCUGAAUGAACUGAGGAUGACCGAACUGGUACUAGCGGGGUGAGCGAGCUGACCUGCAAGAAAGACCAACGGCGGGACUGGUUCCCUGGUGUAGCUCCGACGGUCAAGUCAGUAAGAGUUUAAGAGUAGGGUAACAGCGUAGAUACUGUUGAUGGCGUACCUUGUUUUGUCUUGUGGUAGUGUAUUUAUAAGAUCCCGGGUAGUAGUUUCCCUAUAGGAUUAGGAGUCCGGCUAGAAAGGGAGUCUUUCUAGGGUUUUGUCUGCUAACUCCGAAAGGGUCGUGGGCUGCGGUCCACCAGGCCCAUCCAGUUGGGAGGCGGUGGCCAUGCGCGAACUGUCCUCCCUCCUGCCCGAGUUGUCUAGCCAAAUUGCCAGGUCACAAUGUUCGAACUGACACAUGGCUCCUGCGGAUUGGCCCCACUACAGCUUUCUUAAACUUUUUUCUCAUUUCUUUCCAAUUUGGAAGGAAAAAUUUUGGCUACUAUUCAUGCUCUUAAAUUCUUCCACUUCCUUUCUUUUCUUUCCUACUAAAAACUAACAAAUGAAGGAAAAUUUAACUUUUUCUUCUUUCCAUUUCUUUUCUGUCCAAAUCCUCCACUCCCAAACGAGCCCUUAGAUUUAUAUAAUAAAUAUACAGUGUGCUUUUGAUUUAAAAAGUGAAAUCCUUUUUUUUCUAUUAGUGUUUAAUUUGAAAUAAAUCUUAAAUUUUUGUUAGAGAUAAUCAAUAUAAAGUAUUUUUUUGGAGUAAAUGUAGAAUAAGUGAGGAAUAUAUAAAACUUCAAAAGAUAACCUAUAUAAAGAAGGGAAUUUUCUUAAAUUUGACUUACAAAUGAAAGAGAGAAUUUUAUAAAAUUCAGGGGUGCAAACAUGGUAUAAACUUAAAAAUUUUGAAAAAUUUGAAGGCCGUUGUACAAUUUUAUCAAAAUUGAGGGGGCCGGGGAGGGAGGGCAAUUGUCUACUCCUCAAUCCUAUGUGGCUGGAAUACUUAUCAAUGGAAUAGAUAGUAUAAUAAGAUUUUAACAGCAAAAAUUGUAGAAAAAGGGAUUCUUUGCCGAACUAUUCGACCCAUAAUCUGAAGCAUGUAGUGUUUUGGAGCAAGGGGGUAAGGUGGGAUCAACUCCAUGGCUCAGAGAGGCAAAGUGCCAUUCAUCGCCUAAUAGAUAAAUCCUUCUCUCAGUUAAAAGCCACACUGGUUUGCAACUAUCAAUUUGAAAAAAGAAAGCUAAUUUAAGAGGCAAUAUUUUAAGUUGUUUAAGGAAUAAAAAUGUUGAAAAAGCAUGAACUCAACUUUGGCCUACAAUAGGUUUUUUUUCUGUCUCAACAAUUCUUUUCUUAAUAUUCUUUUUAACUUUAGUGCUGUCAAUUUACUUCAUGGCCCAAAGGCAAAAAAACAAAGACUAGUGAUUGACACAAGAACAAUCUUUAAUGCAAAUUUCAAACUCAUUAAGAAAUGAGAGUGUGAAAUAAACAUUCAACGCGAAGCAUCUAAGCUGGAUCGCAGGCUGGAUGACAUUGAAAUUGUGGUGAAGAUAAGUUUUCAAAGUCUCUUUCAUUUCAGCUUACCUGUUCAUUGAUAGUUUCAUGCUUUAUGAUAAAAUUUUUUUCUUGAGCACUUUAUGAAAAGAAUAUUUAACUCAGUUUGCUCACUAACUAAUGAUUACACAAGCACUCAACUUCCGCACAUUUGCACGGGCUUAAUCUUGUAUUCUUUCUUUUUUUUUUAAUAAAAAUAUUAUUAUUUUAUUAAAUCUAUACUAGUGACAAAAAUUAUAUAAAUAAUAUACGGAUACAAACAGAUCUAAAUAGCAAGUGCUAAAUGUUACAGAUCUGAAAAAUUAAUAGAAUAUUAUACAGUGGAACUCACAAAAAUCAAAUGAUAAAACAUUUAUUGCUAAGAUUAUCUAUGCAUGCUUCCAAUUGUACGGUUUACUUCUUCCAGAUGGUAGGGUGAAAUCUGAGGGAUACAUUUAAAAAUUUUCAAAUCUGGCAAUCAACUUCGAAAAAACAAAAAAGAUCUAACACAAGAAAUAGAAAAACUACAAAAAGUCUCACCAGGAAUCCCACAAAAUCACGAUCGCCAUCUUUACAGCAGCCAUCGUCAACCAUUUGAUCUUCAAUUUUACCGUCUUUGGAACAAAAUUUUUCAUUAGAUUUCAUCAUAUAGCCCAAUCUUGCAGUUCAUCGUCACUGUGCCAGCACUGAAGUAAGCCCUCUUUUCCAAAUUUUCUUUUUUUGUAACUUGAAAUUUGUGUGAAUUAAUAUGCGCAACCUAUGGAUGUUUGGAUCUUUCAUAUUAUUAGUCUCCUCGAAUUUGUUCCUUUGUUCAUUCGUAUGCAAUUUUUUAAUCACAUAUUCUGUUUACCUGAGGAAGUCUGAAUUGUGAUGAAUUUUGUAUUGAUUCAAUAUCAAAUUUGAUUAAAGGGAAAAAGAAACUGCCCUACGAUCAUAGCAUGUAAGCAUGAUGGAAAAAUGCCUAAACUAAAUACAUUGUUGUUCACUGUUUUUUUUUCUUUGGUGUAAUUGGAUAUUGAAACGGUUGAAGAAAGGGAAAGGAAAAUUUAGGAUUGAAUUGGGGUGUUGGCACUUGCAAUUGAUCUGCAGGUGUUUUUUGUUUUCUUACAGUUGAUCAUGACGGAUUAUUAUGGACGAGUUCCAUGGGAAUUAUCAUCAGUUACAAAAAGAAAAUAAACGGGAAGUGCUUCAUAGAAUGGUAUCCUGAGAUAGUGAUUGUGAAAUCAGUAGCCAUCGCAAGUGGAUUGUCAAAAUUAAAGAUGUAAAGACAUAUAAGACUGCAGCUGGAUUGUGAUGGCUAAUCUUAUCCUAUGUAGUGAAACUUCUUGAUCUAUGAAACUCAUGUACAACAUGAGAUAUAUGUACACCAGUUAAUUUAUUUGGGUCUUUACAAGUAAAUUUUCACUUCAGAUUUAUUGUAGUGUUAUUUGAAACCAUGAAAACAGCAGAGAGAAGUUGAUCAUGAAAAAAACUACUAUAGCUGACAAGAUUGGCGUUAUUUGGAUUGUCGGUUUUCACUUAAAAAUUUUGAAGUAUUUUCUCAAUAUAUUUUUCAAUCACUUUUUUAACUCACAUACAUCACAUUAUUAUAAUAUAUAUAUAUAUAUAUAUAUAUAUAUAUUUAACGAAACUCUAUAAACUUACAAUUCAAACUGUAACUUUUCAUUGUAGUGCGUCCUUUAAAGUGACUUUCAUUUUAGUCCGUCCAUUUUAAGUGAUUUUAGUGCGUCCACUUCAAUUCAUGCACAGGAAGGACCGGUCCCAGAAUUCUGUAGCAGGACAAUGAUUUAGCGUGGCCUGGAAAAUUCUAUGGAAACAAGGCAAGAAUGUCACCUUUGGGGUGUCCAAUAAUGUUAGUGUCAAUCAACCUCACUAUUAAAAGAAGAAAAGAUUGUUGAUAAAUCCAUACAUCAAAUCCGUAUUCAAUAUCUUUACUCGAAAUUGUGCUCCCCCAAGGAAGUACAAGUAAACUUUUACCCAUCAAAUUUGCAUAAACAAUUUUGUGGCCUAGAGAAAAGUUCAACCUAGGAUGUUCAAGUAUAAGAUAAACAUGAAUGAAGGGAGAAGGUUGAUUGAGGCCCUAUUCAUCCUCAAAUUUGAUUACAUAUUCCAAUCUAUUGCCACAAAAAAAAAAAAUCAUGCUCAGCAAAAAUUAUUUUAAAAUAUAUGAAUAUAUGUGAAAGAGGAAGAGAAUAAAUACACAAUAUAACUUAAUAGUUUUAUUAACUAAACUCAACAAUAAUGCUCACAAAUAACAAGUUCUGAGUACUUCUAAUCUAAUUGGGUGUGUGUGUUUCUGUCUAUAAGAGAGAGGAGUAUCUCUCUCCCAACAUGAUAAAUGUUUAUAACUUGCUGAACUUUAAUAACCGGGACAUUAGGAAAUAUUUCUUUCCCGCAUCAACUUCGAAAUUCUUCUACUUACUAAACCAACAAAUAAAAAAACUUGCCACAUAAGUAAUUUAAUUUAAUAAUUAGGCUUGGUUUAAUUAUCUACACAACCAUUUGUCAGAUUUCUUGGGCAAUUACGUAGUCAACCCAACCUUGCUAACUGUCAGCGUAGAAGGACCUUAGAAAUUAAAUAACAGCUUAUCAUGCACUGCAUAAAAUACGUUUAUCUGUAGAGCUCGAGCUCGUAAUCAAUUUGUGAGUCACACUGAUCAAUUUGUGGGUCUUAGAGGUUUGAAGUUAAGAGGUAAUUCCGGCGAGAUUUGGAGUUGGGAAUUUUUUUUAUUUGUUUUCUUGCCUCCCAAGAUCUUAUUCUCCUUUAUUCCUUUGUUUGUUAUUACUUCUUUUUUUUUUUAAUGAGUUUUAAGAAGUUAUGGUGAUAGUGGUGGUUAAGAGGUUGAUGAUGAUAGUGGUGAUGGGAUGAUCAAGAGGUUGGUGUUGAUAGUGUGAUGUUCGGCUAAUGAAGACUGUGAGAUUUGGUAUGGAUUAUUACUUGAUUUCUAUUUCUUUUGAUGAAUUUUUAGAUAUUAAUUUGUGCUUUUUGAAGGGAUUUUGUCUGAGGAAUAUUUGUAGGGUUUAUGAAUUUGACUUUAUUCAGAAGAUGAAAAUAAAGGAAGGGUUAUUUUUGGAGGUUUGGUAAAUUUGAGGGUAAACAUGUAUAAUCUCUCUCUCUUUAUCAGAUUUAACUUAGUUUGUAAAUUGUGCAAAAAAUUAGAAGUUGAAGUAAUGGACUGCUAAAUUUAAAGUUUGGGAUGCAAGUUCCAAUUGCGAAAUUGUUGAGGGGUGCAAAUUACAAUUAACACUAUUUCUAUUUUAUUUUAUAUAUACAACUUGUUAAAGGACAACUAAGGAGGCAAUGGGGCGGGGUUGGGGUGGGGGACCCCAUCUCCGUCCGCUGCCCUACUGCCUACAAAUUCCCCCCCCCCGCGCCCAUCCCCAUCCCCCGCUUCUCCGGUGGCCUAAUAAAAAUUUAUUAUAUAAUUUUAUUAUAGUUAAAUUUUAGCAAAUAAUCAAGUACUAAAAUAUCAAUACAUCACCAAAUUAUUAUUCAUUGUAAUUUCACAAUUGAAACUUAUAAAAACAAUCAAACAAAAGUUAUUUGAAUACAAUCCAAUAGGAUGAAAUAAAUACAACUAAAGUAGUCAAGUUUCACUUUGGCACAAAUACAAUCACUAAUUCAUUAUUGUGCUUGUGCUUUUUUUGAGAAAAAAUGUUAUUGUAUUAAGUGUAAUUAGGGAUGUAGUAUAAAUGUAUUAGUAAAUUUAGUAUAACUGGUGGCUGUCAAACUACAAAAAUAAAAUUUAUAUUAGACCUACUACCAAAACUAAACAAGUAUAGUGGUAAGUAGGGUCGUCUCCUCAGGGAACCGGUAGAUUUAUCGCACACAGGUAAUUGGGGAAUUUUUGAAGAGAGAGAGAUAAGUGAAACAAAUUAAAGACAUAAGAUUACUAAAUAAACAAUCGCAAUAAAUGCAAUAACUCAAGAAUGAAAUAAACAAUUAAUUGACACAACCUAGUCAAGGAGAUAAUCUCGGCACCGGUUCACACAAUGAUUAUAGAUACCAGGAUAAUUCACACGUUCGCGAAUAAAUUGGUUCUAUCAAUUUAGCAACCGCCAAACUCCCAAUCUCUCCUUAAUUAUAUGGUAGUCCAAAGACGCUCUUAAACUACCCUAUUGUAAAUUAGAUAACCCCAGAGACACUCGAAGGAUUUAAUCUAAUCACAACUUUAGGAAUUAGAGAACCCAAUUCUAGUUAACAAACACACAUGCGGGUUCAUUUAAACUAGAUUAAUUAUUCCCACGACCCAGAUUAGAUUAGACUGCUUGCGAGGCAAUGAAAUUGUGCCAUUCGCCACUAAUUUAAAACAUUCAAGUGAUACGCACGCCUGUCCUAAUUGGCAAUAUAUUAUUUAGACAAUUGAACAACUGGCCAUAUUGAUCCAAUCAAUCCAAACAAUAACAGGCAAUUCAAACAAAGAAUAAUUAAAUACUCACAAACGCAGAAUUUAGAAUAAACAAAAUGAUCUCACAAUUAUUCAUGCUCCGGGCCUUGAUACUCCUCAACUAGAUAAAGAAAUUAGCCUUGCCGCAUAACGACGAAGCAAUUCAAAGUUUUCAUAGUAAUUUCGUUCAUGAAGAAAUCAAAAGUACGUCGGCUAGUUCUAACAAAGAUAAAAGCAAACGAGAAAAAGGUCCAAGUCAGAAGAUGAGAUCCCUAAUCUAUUGCAAUCUUCCUAUUUGUAGUGUCGCCGCCGCUUCCCCUUGCUUUUCGAAUUAGAAUUUGUUUCUCAAAAGGAUUUGCGUCCUUAUUUUCCUCCUUGAAUUGUUGCCAAAAGUCUUCUUUGAAAAGGCUUCCUAAUCCCACGCAGGUUCAAAAGGUGUCUCCAAAGAAUAGCGAAAGCUCCAGGGAUAACUGACGGUGGCUCCGUCUUUUUCACGCAGCUCUGCGUUAUCUGGCGUGGGCACCCAGAGAAUGCCUAGCCUUCUGGAAUUUGCCCUCCUCUUGUCACUUUUAACACACUCUCUCUGCAAAUAACACAAAUACCAAAUAUGGGCAGAAAUCCAGUGUCUUACACAUUAAGACCAAAUAACAGCGAAUAAAACACACAAUUAUCUCCCUAUCAAUAACCAAUUAAUAAUUUGUAUUAGUACAUAUAUAUAAUUAUUAGUAUAAUUGAUAAUAUCAAUUAUAUUACAUAUACUAAUAUACAUUAUAUAAUACAUAUAACUAAUAAUAUCAUUAUCAUAAGUUUGUAACUAAUUAAAUUAUAUAUUAUAUAUAUAAUUAUAUACAUAGAUAUAUUAUAUAUUUAUUUUUUUAAAGCGGGUGGCGGGGAGGAGAUAGGGCGGGGGUACACUCCCCUGUCUCCCACCCCAUUUCUAAGCCCCAGGGGUGGGGGGGGGGAAUUCCCCUCGGCCCCGUACCACCUCCCACCCCAUUAUCCCCCGCGGGACGGGUACCGGCGGCCACCCGCCCCAUUGCCAUCCUUAGGGACAACUGUCGUAUUAAGAGAAAUAUUUUAAAGGGAUAAUUUCAUAAACCUCCCCUGAGGUUUUUGAUAAUUUUAUGUGGCUCCCUUAAAGUUUCAAAAAUUACAUCUACCUCCCUUACCCAUUUAAAAUGACAAUACUAAUCUUAAUAUUUUAAUAAAACUCUCUUACUUCCAUGUUUAUAAAAAGGAUGGAUUUUACAAUUUUUUUUCUUUUUUCCUUCUUAUUCAUUUCUCUUAUAUUUCAUUAGAAGUAUAAAAGAACUAUCAAUGUUGUCGCUAAUAUCUAUCCAAAUCAAACUUUAAACUAGUAAUUUUUUUGAUGACUUUUAAUAUCAUCCAAUUUUUUGUAGCUCUUUUUUUUGUAUCAAAAUCAAGAAUAAAUCAACAAUAAUUAAAACACAAAUGGCCCAAAAUCACUACCAAACUAUGGUAGUUCUAUCACUAAACUAGUCCAUAAACUUUUAUUAAAAAAAUAGUCCAAAAAUUUCAAAAGCACAAGGUAACACUUUCUUGUCUAUCUUAAAAAGAAUCUAUAUUCCCAAUAAAGCACUAUAAAAAAUAGCUUAUCAUAGCAAAAGAUUUAUUGUUAUAGUUGAUUAUUAAAUAACAAAUAUUGACAUGAAAAACUUGGGACUCUUUUAUAUAUAUAUUAUAUAUAUAAUUGUGUCAAAUUACUUUACAAUUGUUUAAAAGAAUGAAUUGAACUUUAUAAUUAUCAUCAAACUUUGGCAAUCAACCUUUCCUUACUUUAUCGAUAAUCAGAGUAUGGUCACUAACUACUUCUCUGACUAAAAGAUAACCCAAGGUACAACCAUAGGAUUAAAUCUUUUAACAGCACCAAGAAUUAAAAAAACCUAAUUCUAAUCAACAAACAUGUUGCAAGAGUUCAUCUAAAUUAUAUCAUAUAUUUCCUGACAUAGACCCAAUUAUGCUAGUCAACACAAAUAUUAAAACAGACAAACAAUUACAAAUUUAAUUAUUUCAAUUGACAGUAGACUAUUGUGAAUAAUCAAAUAUUGGCCACUUAUUUAAUUACACACAAUAAUCAUCAUACACGUAAUACAGGAGAUAUACAAAUACCCACGAAUAGAUGAAACAGUAAACUUAAAUUAGAUAUCAUAAUUGUUUGUAGAACCAAGUUUUUGAUUAUCCUCUAAUUAGAAAGAAAAUUUAGCCACUUCUUAUGGAGAAAUGCAGCCAAGAAAAUUAGGUUUUUGUCUUGAGAGAAGAAAAAAGAUAAACCACCUAACUACGAUGACAAAGUGUAGAGAGAGUUGGGAAUUAGAUAUCGAUAUUCUCACCCUAACAAUCUAUAUGAUAAUCUCCUAAAAAUUAUUCCAAUAAAAGGAAUUAUCUUCCAUACUGGAAUAAUCUAUUUUCGUAGAUAAUGAUAUAAUAAUAUCCUUACUAACUAGUUGCAUCCAAAAAUAAAGUUUUCAAGGCUGCAGAGAAUCAAUCAAUUAUUCUCUUUAAUUGUUGAAAUUAAUCUCAGGUCCCACAACUUCUGAAUUUCCUAGGCUCUUUAAGGCGUGCCCAUACUUUUAUAGCAAAUAGACUUUUCAGCAACUCUUUUUAGUCCUCUUUCAUCCCAAAUUCUUAUGACAUCACUAAAACACAAAAUAUAAGUAGAAUCCACAAAAUAACACAAUAAUCUACUAAAAUGAAAGGAGAAUUGACACAAACUAUAUCUCAAUUAGGCACACUAUCAUUUAGUGACACAUGAUGAUGUAAGUAAUAUUACAUUAUUAUGAUGAUAUAUGUGCUCUUGAGUAUGCACCACAUCGUCCAUGAGUGGUUCCGAAAAUCAAGUUUUUAAGAAGGUUUUAAAACUGGAAAUCUUACCGGGUCAUAGGUUAUUAGUUCAAUCGUUAGGCUACAUGCUGUGUUUUCAGACUCGGACCGGAUCGGCCGGUCGGACCGGUUGGACCGGGAACCGGCCAGGCAUCCGGUCCGAGUUAGUUAAAAAACUCGGAUGUUAUAAAAUCGGUCAAACCCGGUCCGGUGAACCGGAAAUUUUGAUUAACCCCGGUUUUUUUUUCUUUUUCGGCCUUUUUUUAGUCAGAGUUUGACAAAUCGGACAAAAUUGAAAAUUGACAAGGUCACAAAACUUGCGUCGGCUACUCUGCUGCUUCUCUUCUCAUACAUUUUCUUCCUUUCUUGACUUUCUUCUUCAGAUCUCCACCGCAUCUCUUGAGAUUCAUCGAUCAUCCUUCAAUCUCUAGCCUCCACCGCCGCAACAGCCACCAGUUCCUUCAGAUUUCAAGACAAUCAAGUAAUUAGCAUGCGGGUGAACUGAAGCUUUGUUUGGUAAUUUUUACAAUCUGAAGGUUAUUAUUGCUGAUUCGUUAUGCUAAAGUUGAUAUGUGACUGGAAUUUUUUGAUUCAUUAUGCUGGACAUUUGGGAUUUGGAUAUUACGGGUGUGACUGAGAAGCUGGAGUGUUUAAUUAUAUUUGGGAUUUGGGAUUGGAAUAGUGGGGUCAGGGGAUCAGGGAAAACGGCUCUUACACGGAAGGUGUUUGAUAUUUUGCCUGUGAGGAGGAUGUUCUCACCGAGGAUUUGGGUUUCUUAUAUGAUACCCUUCAUGAUGAACCGGUGAGCGUAGACUUGAGAGUGAAGAUAUUGAGGAAAAUGCUAGAGGCAGUCUGGUUGUGAUGUCUCGGAAAUGAUGACUACCUAUGUUGACAUUCCCAAGCUCACUCAGAAGCUUUACCAACGGUUAAUGGGCAAGAAACUGAGUUCUCACUUCUGGUCUAUCUUCGCUUGGAUGUUCAAAGUUCCAUGCAGCCAUCAAUGUAAAUUUCUGUGAUAUUUGUCUCUAAGCAAUGAAAACUUAUUUUGUCUUUUGUCUUAAAAAAAAAAGAUUGAUAUUUAUCAAGCAUUUGAACAUGAACUUGCUACCUUAUUUGGAUUGCUAUUUUUUAAGGAUUAAACAUGUAUGGGAUUUCUAUUUUAUAAAUUUUGUGAGUUUGGAUGAAUUUGGUUAUAUUUUGUAAAUUUGAUUUGCAGGUAUAUAUAUAUAUAUAUAUAUAUAUAUAUAUAUAUAUAUAUAUAUAUGAGGUAUAUAUGAUGUCAUCCGGGUCGACCCCCUAUCGACCCCCGUCGAAUCCAUUGACCCCACGACCUGACCUCGACCGAGUCGAGUCCUGGUCCGAGUCUGAAAACAUAGGCUAAAUGUUACCAAGUCAUUGUUAAUCUGUGACAUCAUAUAUAUCAUAAAUAAUUAAUGUCAAAAAUCGUUCAAUACGUCCCUUAUAUUUUGCUAAAUGAUUUUUUUGGUCCUUCGCUUUUAAAAUGUUAAUUUUAUAUCUAUUACAAAUUCAAGUUAGCAAAAUUUGGUUCCAAUCUAAAUUUUUGACUACUUUUUAGCCUAAGAUCGCCAUGUGACCUAUAUGCAAUCAUUUUUUAUGUAAAAAAAAAAUGUCAAAUACCACUUUUUUAGUGAUAAAAAUAAAUAUGGAUUGGGUCAAAUUCCAUUUUUGUUUUAAAAAAAUGAAUAUGAUUUGGAUUAGAUCAUACUUUUUAAAGUAAAAAUGAAUAUGGAUCGAAUAAUUUAUUUAACUACAAAUGGGAUGUAACCACUGUUUAAUACUAACAACUGUUAAGUGGAUAGGAACACGAAUAGUAAGAAAUUUUGGAUUUUGUAAACAAUUUUGAGCAAAAUUAUAAUUUUUUAAAGGUGAAAUGAUAGAAACUUAAAUAUGAGGUAACAUUGAAAUCUAAAAGUAAGUAUGAGGGCUAAAUGGUAAAAUGUCAAAAAGUAUAGUGCGUUAAUCGUUUCCUAUAAUUAUAUAUGCUAAUGUGGGGCCACAUUUUUUUUUUUUAAAAAAGAAAAGCAAGACUCAAAACGGUUUAGUAAAAACACGUCGACGGUUCGUUGGUCCGACCAAACGAUCUAGUUGGUUUUUACUAUCUAGACCGAUUUUUUGAUCCGUCUUAGUUUGAGACUUGGUUUAGUUCAGAAAGCUACUCGAUCAAUAGUUCAAUCAGUUCGCUCAAACAGUCAAAACUGAGUUUUAUAAUAUUAGUUUUUAUUUAAAUAUUUUCAAUACCCAUUUAUAAGAUUAUGGCAUUUGUAAGUUCUCCAAGAACCAAAAAUAAAAAGAUAUUUGUGCUAUAGUUGAAAUGAUGAGUGAAGAAAUUUACUGAUGCUGUCAAUAAUGUAUCGACGGGAUACUUAAGCAACGAAUAAUACUUUUCUUUGGGUAAACUAUCAAGUAUUAUUGAUGAAGCACAUAUUACACGAACCUCCAGGGGGAUGGCCACUAUUUGGCCCGUCUUCAAUUCGCCACACAAGUAGCUGGACUCAUCUAUAAAAGGGUCAAUCUUUGGGCAACCAAAUGCACGCCAAACCCAAAAAUACACACGAAAGCAAGCCUGCAAAAACAACAGAGAGGAAAAAAUGGCUCCCUGUUUUAGAGCACUAGUCAUAGCAAUAACAUCGCUGUUGAUGAUAUCUUCAGUGAUCAGGUCUUCCGAUGCUGCUGGAAUUGCCACCUACUGGGCCAAAACACCGACGAAGGAAGCCUGGAAGACGCAUGCCGGAGAGGUACCUAUGACUACGUGAAUCUUGCCUUUCUGAUAAAUUAUGGCAAUGGCCAGACACCAGAAUUGAACUUAGCUGGGCAUUGUGAGCCAAGCGCUUGCUCCUCGCUUAGUUCUGAGAUAAAAGCUUGCCAGAAACGAGGCAUCCAAGUGCUUCUUUCUCUCGGUGGAGCUCCAAAC